UACCCUACCAUAGAGUGGCAAUGCUAGCCAUUGAAGACGGGUCAAUUUGGAAAAUGUCUCUUUUGGUAUUAUUAUCUUUCGUCUUAAACUCCGACACUCGUCCAAGUUAAGCCUUUCGAGGUUGACCAGUGACUCCCAACCUUCAGGUAAAUCCUCAAUCUUAGUGGAGGAUAGGUCCAAAUCCCUCAAUUGCUUGAGCUUUCCCAGUGGUGGCACAGAUUGGAGGUCACUACAAGACCUCAAAAUCAGGGCAGUAAGAUUCACCAUGUCCGAAACAGAAUUAGGCAACUCUGUUAUACCUUUGCACAAAGAUAGAUUCAAAACUUUAAGUCCACACAUGUGCCGAAAGAAUGAAUCUGGGAUUUCUUUUAUGGAAACCCAAGAAAGAAGCAAGGUCGAGAGCUUAGGACAAUUUGGUGACCAGGCUGGUGGAAUUUCUAUUUCUUUGAAAUUUUGUGAAUAGAAGGAAACCGCAUGGAGAUCUUCUGUCCAAUUUUGUGUUACUUUAGAAUUUCCCUUUCCCAAGCUUUUCACCAAGAAUCGUGGUACAUCAUCUCUGCUGCUCUCUGGUUUGGAGUUUCCAUGCGUGAUCCUUAUUGCCAUAUCUCUGACCAAAUCAUGCAUCUUCACACAGUCAUCUGUAGUUUUUUCCAGCAAGCAAACUCUAAUCAGUUUGUUUAAUAUUGUGUGACCUUGAUCAAAUUCUUCUGACCAUGAUUCCCGUUUUGACAUCAGCUCUGCCCUAAUAAACAGGACUAUUAGUUCCUUUCUUUUUAUAUCACUAUCUUCCGGAUAAAGACAGCAAUACAAGAAGCAAUUCCUUUCAUAUUUAUCCAGGCGAUCGAAACUCCGUUCCAGGAUGCGAGACACCUUUUCUUCCAUCUUACCGUGCUCUACUCUAUUCAAGUCUACCAAUGCAUUUCUCCACUCAUGGAUGUCGGUCACACCUAUCAUGCUCCCAGCCAUUACGACAAUACCAAGAGGCAAACCACCACACCUUUUCGCAACGGACUUGGCAGUAUCUUUCAAACCUCCGUCAAGCACGGUCUCGCUGCCAAGUGUACGCUCGAACAAACCCCAAGCUUCCUCUGUGUCCAAAGUUUUCAAUUCAAAUUUGCUUUGGCAUCGCAUGCGGUUGCACACUUCUAAUGAGCGUGUAGUCAAAAUCAGUCUGCAAUUUCUUGCACCAAUCCCUAAGCUGUUUAAACGAAAUUCUUCCCAAACAUCAUCCAAUAUGAGCACUACCAUUUCCUCCAUUUUCUCGAAUGUGUCACCCAACUUACGUGCCCUCACUUUUUCAUCAUCCUCGUGUGACAGAUCAAGCCCUAAGCGUUUAGCAACGUCACCUUGCAGCCCUUUGAUGGUAAAAUCUUGGGAGACAGAAACCCAAUAAACCCUUAAGGAUUGAGUAUUCUUAAGGAGGUGAUUAUGGAUGUGUUCCGCCAAUGUAGUCUUACCCACGCCACCCAUCCCCCAGAUCCCAAUCCUUAAGAUCUCAUUGGUGUCCAACUUUUCUCCAAUCCUUAAGAUGCUUAAGAUAUCUUUCAAAUCUCUGUCAAACUUUUCUCCAAAUAAUUUCGUUGUCACUCGUGGCUUACCUCUGCUCUCAAAAACCCCAAGGCAAAGCUCACCAAAAUCCUUACUUUGCUUAAUAAGGCCUUCUACAGUUGCGUCCAUUUCCGCCACUCUAUCCCCACCGCUAAAUGCAUUUUUCAGAAGACAACCCUGUUCUAUACUCGUUUUCAAUGCACCGAAUUCAUCCUCUAUGUUUGCUACCUUCUCAAACCAGUUCGCAACCUCACUUUUCCUUUUCUUAGUACCUGAUCUUUCUGCAUUUGUCACUUGCGACUCGAGGUCAGAUUUUCUGCCGCUUAAUCCUUCCAACUUCGUUUCUAGCGACCUUAGAUUAUCACGCAAAUAGUACCACUUCUUUGCUUUUUCGAAUGUCAAAUUCCAAAGAUCCGUGGCUAAUUUUCCAAUGCACUCCAUUACCUAUCAAGUGACGAGAGAAUCUCUAAAAAUUCCAGUUAUCAACCAAUAACGUUGUUCAAUAAAGGCAGCAUAAUAAUCCAUUGGAAAAUUUUGAAACAGGGCAUUUCCAAACUUAGUUUGACAAAUUUGAACCCGGUUAGGAAACUAAACAAUUAGCCGAUUAAUGUUGGAUUCUACAUAAUGGUAUCCUCAACUUUUAAUCAACAUUUCAAUGACGCAAAGGCACUAAUAGUAGUAUUAUUAGAAUUUUCUCAAUGUCAAGAUGAAAAGACUUUUCUCAUAUUCAACUAUUUAUCAAAUACAAGUUCUGUCAUAUCACAACUUUCUUGCGCUGAAUGAAAUGUACUUGAAGUAUACAAGCAGAAACACUCUUGGGUAUACAGUAGUAAUUUUAUAUUUUUUGGGUACAACAUGAUGUUUCUUCUCACUAAUAAUUUUUCUUUUUCUUAUUUGUGGCAAAUGGUAUCUUAAUUACUUUUUAAAAUUUUUUUGAUAAAUAAAUUUUAGGUCAAUUGGUGUGUAUGUCGAAUUACUCACCACUCAUUGCGUCUCAUUCGACAAAUACCAAACGACAAAAUAGUCCAAUUACUCAUCUAUGAUUCUUCCCAUUGGCAAAAAAAAUAAAAUAUUUACUACAAUAUGUGGAGAAAUAUCAAUGUGAUAUGAAGAACCAUGUAAAUUGCAUGAAAACCCGCUUCAUUAGUUUUCAAAUAGAUUACUAAGGUAGUUUUUUUUUUCUUUUCUGUCGAUUUUUAAAUUUUGAGUGUAUCAAACCAAAAAAUUUAAAUGAAAUAGGUAACAGGAGUUGCACCCUAAUACAUUAUAAAUUCAUAUUGGUCAAAUUUGAUCCAUACUUAGGUUUCCGACUAAUUUUUUAUUGGAAUCUAUCACGUGCCUUGCACGUGAUCAUUUUUUAAGGAUAAAAUUGUUAAAUUAAUUUUACACAAUUCAAUCCAUAAUCCCUCAUAUUUCUCAAUAUAAAUUUUUUCGUCCUUCACAUUUCAUAAAAUGAAUUUUUUGUCCAUCACAUUUCACAAAAUGAAGUUUUUCAUCACUCACAUUUUACAAAAUAACUUUUUUCAUUCCUCAUUGAUCAUGUGUAUGAAUAUUUUUCUUUAAAUCCAUAUAUAUAACUAUUUAAUUUCACUUGAACAACACAAAUAGCAUGUGUACAACUACAAUUAGGCUAUUUAGACAAAAUUAAAUAAUUUGGACAUUGUCAAGUGUUUUAUAUCGAAUUAAAUUUGAUAAAAAAAUAAUCAAAGAAAAAGUAUGACAAAAAGAAGUAAGUAAUCAGCACUUUCAAAUUUUAAGACAAUCACAAAUAAGUAAUUCAAUUGUUGGUCUUAAAGAUGGCGAGUAGAAGUUUCAAAAUUAAACUGCAAUUCAUUAGCAUGACUAUAGAAUUCAAAUUAGGACUCAUUAAUUAGAUGGCCUUAUUAUACAACUCAAUAAAUGAAGUAUUACAAAAAGAGAAAAGGCCACAAAUAUUGAACAAAUUCACAUGGUGAAAUCAAAUAAAUAUAUUCAUGGGUUAAAAAUAAAAUUGUUAGUUUUAAACCCAUGUAUAUAUCUAUUGAAUAGCAUGUGAAUAAUUACAAUUAACUUGUUGAAGUGAAAUCAAAUAGAGAUAUGUUAUAUGCUAUUCGUAUUAUUCAGGUAAAAUCAAAUAGAUAUAUACGUAGAUUAAAAAAAAACUAUUCAUAUACAUAGUCAAUGAGGGAUAAAAAAUUUUAUUUUAUAAAAUGCGAAGGAUGAAAAAAUUUAUUCUGUAAAAUAUGAGUGACGAAAAAAUUCAUUUUGCGAAAUGUGAGGGACUAUGAGUCAGAUUAUAUAAAAUUGAUUUGACAAUUUUACCCCUAAAAAAUAAUUACAUGCAAGGCACGUAAUGGAUUCCGACUAAAAAUUAGUAGGAAACCUAGGUAGGGACCAAAUUUGAUCAAUAUGAAUUUGUAAGGGACGUAAAACUACACUUUUAAAAGCAAGGGAUGAAAAAAGUUAUUUUAUAAAAUGUAAGGGAUGUUUUGAACAAUUUUCCCUAUAAAAAGCUUGAAGAGGGCACUCUAUGUAUUGAAAGGGCAAAAAAAAGUGAUCAAGAUUUUUUGGCCUUAGAAAUCUAAAUAUACAACUACAAAAAUUUACAAAAUCAAGGUUGAAUGUGAUAUCAUUGUAACUUGAAAUGAGAAAAAGUUAUCUUCAAGAAGUUGAGAACUACAAAACUCUGCCAAAAUAUAAAAGUUUGUAUUAUAUUUCGAUCAUCGCACCAUUGAUUUUGUGGUGUAAAUUUAUCCCACUUGAUGCGGCUAACUUUUUUUUUUUUUUUUAAGUGCAUGAUUCAUCUGUUAAAAAAAUUUCAUCAGGAAAAUGCAUGUUCUUUGUUUGUCCCAAAACAAAAAAGAAAAGAAGAGCUAUGCACGAAAACCUACUUCAUUAGCCUUUGGGUUAGAUACCUUGUGUAAUUUUUUAUUUCAUUAAUUUUAAUUUUGAGUACAUUAAAUUAAAAUUUCAAUUAUGCAUUUUAGUAAAUGAAACUGAUAUGCAACUUUUUUUUAUAACAAAAAAUUUGAUAUGCAUCUGGUGUAAGAAAAUUUUUAUAAAAAUUCAAGAUUUUAUGUAAAAGCUUAUAAAUUAUAAGAUUAAGGCCAAGAUCCGAAUAUGUUUCCACACUCAACAGGAUCAAUUUACUCCUAUAGAUCCAUCCUGUCCCCGGAUCUAGUUUUGGUAGUAUUAGUUAGGUCCAGGUUUGGAUCAUCUCAUUCUGUCCUUUGUUACAAAUUCUUGCCAAGAACUGUCGAUUGUGUAAAAAGCUUGAACAAAGCACUCCGUGUGUUGAAAGAAGAACAAGUGACCAAGAUGUUUGGCCCUCACAAAUCUAACCAUAACAUGAUGAAAUGAGAAACAACUACAAAAAUUUACAGUUUCAAGAUCAAGUUUGUUAUUAUUGUACCUUGAAAUCAAGACAAGUUUUCUUGAAAACUUGAAGAAGUUGAGAACCGCUAGAUCCUGUCAAAAAACAAAAUGUUGUAUUUUAGUUCGGUCUCGCUUUCGGGACUAUAAUUGUUGAGUUUUGAUGAAUGAAUGAUAAUUGAAUCAAGAUGUUGGUGCCAAGCAAAGCUAUCAGUAUAACAUGGUGAAAUAAGAGAAGAACUCCAACAGUUACUAAAUUCCGACGGAUAUGAUCUCAUUAUACCUGAAACUGACUAGAAAACUUGAGGAAGCUGAAAACCUUGAGACUCUGCCAAGAUUAGGUGUUAUGAUUGUUGAGUGCUGAGGAACGGAUGGUAUAAGUUGAACUAGCAGCAGAGCAGACCACCAAUGGCCCUCGUGAAGGAAGUUCCGGGAGUGUCCAAGGAAAGCUAGUGGAAUUGUAUUUGAUCAAAUACUUCGAUUAUCAACCAAUUUGUCUUUGCCUACCUUGCAAAGCAUGAGAUGCAACUCUGGCUACAAGUUAGGAGUCCAAACGAUUACACUUAUAGAUAUAUCCAAAGAAUUGCACAUAUUUUUAAAUCCAAAAAGUAUAUUGCAACUCUCUAGAGAGUUGCAUCUCCUUAAAUACCAUUGAUUCCCAUAGUAUGUAUAUGUGUACGUAUCCUUUUGCUUGUACCAUAAAAUUGACACCAAAACUUGGAUUUUGACUUAGAUUCAACGAGAUCUACUUGUAGGAUUGGGAAGAUUGAAUUAAUACGAUCACAAACAUAUAUGGGAGACUAGGUUAAUUUACACAUAUAAGAAUAUGCCUAGACUAAUAUAUAAAUAUAAAUAAAAUAUAUACAUAUACAUGCAUGCAUGCAUGUAGACAUAUAUACAUACAUACAUACAUAUAUCAUUACGGCCCAGAUCCAGCCCUCUGUUCACAUUUUAUCUUCUCCAAAAGUUAAUAAGAAUUUGAAACUAUGAUAAAAUUCAAUUUUCUUGCCUAAAAGUGCCAGCGAUGUGAAAAGCAUGAAGAGAGCAAUCCAUGUUGAAACAAAAGGAAGUAAUCUGUGAUUUUUAUGCCUCGAAAAGCCAUAUAUUAAUAUAACAUGAAUGCAGUGACAAAAAACUUCAAUAUGACAAAAUUAAGAUGGAGCAUGAUAUCCUUUUACCUUGCAAACUUGGACAACCAAAAUUAAGAUGAAGACGCUGAGACCCUGCCAAUGCACAAAAGUGUGUAUUAUAUUUUUGUUAGUUUUCACUGCUAAGAAGCAACUCAAAAAAAUAUCGAAUUAAGACUCCAACAAUUGAACUAAGAUUUAUGUGCCAAGUAAAGCAAUUAUGUACUUGAUGAGAUAAGAAACAACUCUGACAAUUACAAAAUUGUGAUGGAUAUGAUCUCACUGUACCUGAAAUUUUUACAAGCAAGCUUGAGGAGGCUGAAAGUCUUGAGACUGCCAAAGGUAUGUACUUUUCUUUUUUUCUGUUUUUCUUUUGAUUUUCUACGAGUAUGAUUGUUGAGUAUUGAGGAAUCAAUGAUGAAAGUUGAACUAAUAGGAGACCAUGACCGAUUUAAAGGGUCUUCCUCCCCAUUUCAUAUGCAAAAAGUCAAAAGAUUAAUAAUGUUGCCACAAUGUUGUCACCUUUUUAUCUCACAUCUCAAAAAGUGCUAUAGUAAUUAUCUCAAAUAAAUCAUCCAAAUAAAUUCCCAUCCAAACAAACCACAAUAUGUUGUUUUUAUGGAUUUUUUUUUUUUGCUAUUCUUUUAUGGCAUAGGAUGUGAACAAUUUUGCUACUGUUGGUAUGAAUAAUUUUUUAUAUGGACUGUUGUUUUUGCUAUACUGUUAUAACGCAGGAUUUAGAUAGUCUAAAUUAAUUAAGACAAUUAUUUCCCUUUAAUUGUAUGGGAAAAUUUGGAAAAAAGGGAAUGAGAAGUGUGAAAUUUCAUAAAUAGGUGGUAAGUUUUAGGAAAUUUAUAAAUGGGGUAAGGGCUAUUAUUCACAUAUUAUAAAAAGAGAAAUUUUUGUUGCAAGCUAAAUUACAAAUUAACCCUUAUGUGCAUAUAAGGGCACUUGUAUGUGCACAUAUAUCAUACGUGCAUAUUUGAAUGUAUAUUUACACGUAUCAAUAAACACAAUUUUAUUCAGUAAGAUCCACAUUGCUAUGAGGGUAAUUUUAGUUAUUUAACAAUAAAAUUAAUAGUUGCUUUACUUCGUAAGUAAUAACCCAUGCCCCAGUUAUAAAUUUUGUAAAAUUUACAACCUACUUAGAGAUUGUCAAUAUUCCUAUUCUUUUUUUUUAAUAUUCCCAAAUUAUUUUGACGACAUCAUAUUAUUCUGCUCGAUCAUGCCAUAUUGCCAUUUUGAUGACUUAAUGAAAGCUCCUUAAGGAAGUAGGGGACAUUUCCAGGAAAUGGUGCGGCAAAGACUUUGAUGACUAAAGGGAAGAAUUUCGGUCACACGAAAAAGGGGAGGUAAACUAUAUAUAUAGUCUAACGAAAUAUAAGAGAAACGCAUAACAAGGAAAAUGGUAAAAAAAAUUAUAAAAUCCAUCCUUUGCAUAAAUAUGGCAAAAAGAGAGUUUUAUUAAAAAUAUUAAGGUUAGUAUUGUCAUUUUAAAUAGACAAGGAACGUAGGUGUAUUUUUGAAACCUUAGAGGAGCCAAGUGAAAUUAUUAGAAACCUCAGGGGAGAUUUCUGAAAUUAUCCCUUUUAACAAGUGAUAAGGUUUUAGCUUAAUUCCAAAUGAUUUGCUUUGCACUUUUCAUCAUUGCACGGACAACUAAAAGCGACAACACUCCAUUAUUAAUAGCGGGUCACCACCGAAAGGGAAAAGACUUUGCCGUUCACGUUGACGACGACGACAUUGUCGAGAGGAAAAAUCCAUGAAGUUGAAGGGAGGCUUGAAGUGGGGACCCUUCGCCUAUCCUCGUCUGUCUUUACCCAUCUACCCCUGCUAGUGCUCCGUGGCCGUAGGGGCCACUUCUAUUUUUAUUUUUUUAUUUAACUUUAUUUAUAUAUGCAUAAUAUUGUCAUUGGGCCUUCAUGUGGUCACUGCCAAAGUCUUGGUAAUGUGAAAAGUUAAUGGAUCAAACCUUGCCUCCCAUCAAAUCGAGCGUUACUGAAAUAUGGUAAAGAGUUCUUUACCAUUUCCUUUUAAUGGUUGAGGACUGUGGUCACAAUUCACAAGAUAUAUUACCGAACUGUUAUUAUCUGAAUAACACGUCUCUACUGCGAAAGCAUAGAGUCCUUUACCGCUUGCCAAGCACUAGAUUGUGCUGCCUGCUUUGAUUUCGUAAUGUGAUUCCUAACUUCUAUAACUUCCGUCGUGUGAAAAUAUCCACAAUGAGAAUCUCAUUUUCAUGUAGCUAUUUUCUCAAGUUUCAACAGAAGUUAGUGGAACAAGAAUCAAAUAGUUCCUGAGGGUCAUGUUGUCUGAAAUUUAUACUUACCUAGCUCUGUUCAAUCAAUACCAAUCUUUGGCUUUUCUUUAAAAAAAUAAGUACAACAGCUUAAAAAAAGCAAUAUAUAAUAGAAAAUUAAAAAAUACAGCUGAAAAUUCAUAAAAAAUCUCAUUUUUUAUGCAUUUUGAUUUGUUAAGUUUUGUGUAUCUUAAGAAAACAAAAAAGAACUAAAACAUGAUAUUUAUGAAGGAAAAAUAGUAAUAUAAUAAAAAGUGAGACAGAUAGUGGUAUAGGGUUUCUCUUCCUUUGUUCUCCCUUCUUCUUUGUUCUUAUUUUUAUUUAAUAAAGUCUCUCCUAAAAUAUCCUAGUGAGAGUUUUCUUCUCUCUCAGGCGACCUUGGUGAGAUUUGAUGUUUUGUGAUUCACAGUGUAAUCUUUUAUAUUUUGUAACUCUGUUAAAUCUUAUGAUUUUUCAGAUCAAAUAUAUCAAUGACAUGUUCCAUGUAUUUUCUACUAUUAGUGCAGAUUACUUUGUCAAACAAAUCGUGUUGGAUGAUUUCCAGCUAAAUUAUUAAUAAUAUUGGCUUAUGUUUUAUCAAAAAAAUAAAUAAAUUCUAACCUCCAAUCAUAUGUAUAUGAGGCCUACACAUGAUCAGGAUCGUUAUAUUCACUGCCGAUUUAAAGAGUUACUAGUUUUUAAGCCCUGACGCGACGCGUCAGGUAGCUGAGACUCAUUAUUUUGUUAUUAUAUUUGUUUUUUUUUCUUUGUUAGAUACAGUAGUCAUGUGUGUGAGUGUGUGUUUUUUCCUAAUUGCACAAAUAAACAUGACUUUGAAAUCAGGUUAUCUUAUAUUUUUAAAAUUAGGCAAAACUAAAAGGCAUGAUUAUUUAACAUUUUUAAUAUAGCAUUACUUAGUAAGUAAUGCCUAAAAUUAGGUAGAACUAAAAGGCAUAUGGCUAUACAUGUAAUGUGUAGCCUUGCUUAUUAGUCACGUUGCUUCUCUAAGAUAAGCAAUUUGACAAUUUUCAUUUUUUUGACACUUUCUAUUUGCUAGUACUUCACAUUUAACAAUCUUUUAGAAGAAAGAAAUAAAGAAAGACAAUUAUAAAAUGGGUUUGUCAUUUUCUUUUGUUUGCUAGACUUGAAUGAACAAUCAAACAUAUUUAAAAAUAUUUUCAAAUCAAUGUAAAAUUGAAUUAAUCUUUUUUGUAUAUUCAGCGGCUUUUUUGUUUACAUUAAUAGGUCUAUAUUCGUGACACAUAAUUUUUAUUCAACUCUAUCCCACCAUGACCUCGGUUUAUAUAUACUACCAUGUCUCCUAAUCAGGGUUGCAUAUUGGAUCCUAUUCUUUUUUUUGUUGCAAUUCAGAUGAUUGUUUAAUUGAUAGAUUAAAAGUGUUCAAGAAUGGAGGGAACAAAAAUAGUUUCUUUGGACAGGACAUCAUCUAUUGAAAAUGAGUCUCGGACUCUCAAUAUUGAACAAGUUUAAGUUGCAAGGAUGAAUAUACAUAUUUUCUUUCUUUCUUCCCUUUUCUAGGCUGUCUAUCACUUUGUUUUUUUUUUUUUUUGAUUUUGAUGAUUUUGGUUUUGAUAAUUUGUAUAGGAGGCAACACUUUAUGUGGUGAGUACGAGGAGCAUGGAAGAAGCUCUUUGAAUUUUCACUAAGAUAAUGGCUUAGAUAUAUACAUAUCUAAUAAUUUCUUGAGCUUAAAAUUUUCUUUUCUACUUUCUAGGUUCUUUGGAUCUAUAACUCUUACUUAUUUGAUGAUUCUUUCUCUUACUUGGCUGAUGAUUUUUUUUUUUUUUUGGUAAUCUGUACCAUAAGCUGCAAAUUUAUAGGUUAUUUUGUGUUCUUAAAUCAUGUGCUAAAAUAGGUGAGUUUCUCUUUUUCUUUUUCUUUUUCAAUAAAAGUGGUAUUCAAAAUCAAGAAAUAGUUGGAAUCUUUAAAUGGUGAAUUCCAAAUCAACUUGUGUUUAAGGAUAGGUUAGAAUAAAAUGCUAAGAAAUAACUGGUGGAACUAUUCUACAAAUGAGGUGGCAAGGGUAGGGAUGGCAAUGGGGGCGGGUGCCCGCGGGGGAGGGUUGGGGCGGGGGGUGGGGCGGGGGCGGGGGGAAUUUUUUCCCCCUGCUUAGAAACGGGGCGGGGGGCGGGGGAGUAUACCCUCGCCCCGCCAUGUGAGAUCCCGGUUAGCCUCUGAUUUCAAUAUCAUGUGAUAUUAAGGGCAUUUUGUUCUAUUUUGUACGGAUUUAGUAGAAAACUCUAGUUUUCUUUUUAUUGUGAUAACUUGAAAAAAAAAGAGAAAGAAGAAAAAAAGAAAAAAAUUAAAUUAAAUUAAAAUUAAAAUUAUUAAAAAAUUACAUGUAUGUUAUGAAUUCUUUUAUUGCUUAGAUAUUAGAAAAUUACAUGUAACAAAGGAAUGGUUAAGAUAAAUGCAUAAUUGAAUUUCUAUAACAGAUUGAAAAUUGAAACGCCACUUGAAUUAUGUAAAAUCCUAGCUACAAAUCCACUCUUACUAACCGAGCUUUAGGUUCCAAUUUGAUGCUCAUUCACCUAGCAAAAUAUGCUAGAAAACUUGUGAGGAGCAAAGAUGAAAACCGAUUAAGAUUCAAGGACCAAACGAUGAAUACCGAAAUUGCACUACGACCCUUUACUAUAUUUAGCCAAAAAAAAAGAGAAGCCAAAAAAUCUUACUCCGAUUCUGGUCAUCUUGACCGAGAAUACCAAGGCUGGAAAGCCUUGAAUCUUCAUGAUUUUUUUGCCAGCCAAAGCAUGACAAAGCAGGUAGGAACACUUGUCAAUUUUCCAAGCCAUUGAGUUGGCAAAACUCCAAUCCUUGUCCUGCUAGCUUAGGCUGCUAUAAAUACCAGACAUCCAGGCUUAGUAAAUACUUUGGUAAUCUUCUUAUCUUCACCGAAUCUAGCAAGAAACUAUCAGCUCAUUUACUACAAAAAUUGCACACAAAGCUAGCCAAAACCAAUUCUGUUGAGAGCCGAUUAAGCUGGAUUUUUGCUGCACAUCUGGUGGAAUUUUCUUGCACUUUACUGCCCUUUUAUUAAAAGGUACCAUGAGCUAUACACCUAUUUCAUUUAUAAUUCAUUUACGCAUCUUAUAUAUCUAGAAAAUCAAGUAUCCCUGCUGAAAAACAAAAAAAGAAAUCCUAUUAUAAACAUGCAUAUGAGCAGUUCGUGAUUUUCCAGCUUUGUAGUUCAAUUUCUAUGCCAAUUUUAUGAUGAUUCUUGCCUAAAUUUUGGCUAUAUAUGUUUGCUAUGCAUGCUGGAUACUAGGUGUACUUGUUUGAUUGAUAAGCUCUUGAGCAACCAAGACUAAUUUGGGAAUCAAAAAAAAAAAAUGGAACCAUAUGCCACAAACAGUUUCUUCGGAUGAAACAGUGGCCUGAAAUCAGUUUUGGUAAAGCAACUAUAUCUUGGGCUAAAAAACUCGGAUUGGGAUGCCAUUUGUAGCGUUAGAAACUAGCUUCACAGAACUAUCUCUGGUAUAAAAAUCAGUUCCAAAUUCAUUCCCUAUAAAUACCAGUAAAUCGGCAAAGUUUGCUGUUUUUUUUUCGGAACCUGUUUUGCUGGACCAUUUGAGCAGCCUGUUUGCAACGAAUUUUGACCCAACUCUGAUCAGAAUUUGAACCUGAGCCCUUCAGAGAAAUUGUAGCUUCUUAAGUGCUUGUUGUGCCUACAAAAUUUCAGGUCAAACGGAGGUGUGUAGGCUGAGUUAUAGCCGAAACCCUCACUUAGCUUACAAAUUCAGGUUUGACCACGUUUUGUAGAUUAGCUUCUGACCAUGCUCAGUUCGCAUGGAUAAUGAUGAAACUGGGUGGUGGUGUCUUCAUAAGAACUGUAGAGCUCUGUUUCAGAUUCAAAACGGUAUAAAGUGAAUCCAAAUCUGAGCUUCGUAGCUCCAGUUAAAGCCAAAAUAAGAUCGUGUGUCAGAACUGCCUGGAACAUUGGGCAGUUCUGACAGGUACUUUGACACCCACUUUUCGUUUGGUUCUGAGUUGAUCCAAGUCUUGGCCAAAACAUAAAAGUUUUAGCCUUAUGUCUUAGCUUUCCAAUGACUUUGGAAUUUCUUGAAUUGGGUCUGUGAGUUGUAAGUGAUGAUUCUUCCACUAGACCCUGUCUGUCAUCUAAACGUGCGAACUCCUGGCACGUUGUUUCAUACUUAUGACCUGAUUCCGUUCAGAACUGGAUUGAAGUGUCUUCAUGAAAGUUAUAGAUUUUCUCCUUAGCUUCGCGACGGUAUCUCAUACGCCUCGAUCCGACAAUCGUAACCUACAUUGUGUUCAAAACAGUUCUUGACGCCAAAACGGACAAGUUUCCGUUUCUGUUUCCAUUUCCGUUUCCGUUUUCCAUUUCCGCGCGCGUAUGAGUCGCCUUUGCUGUUUUCCUUAUUCGUAUGCAUUUGGAUACCUGUUUGAGCAAUGUUAUGACUCAACCUUCUGUCACAGACGGUAACGAAAUGCUCGGAGACGGUGGGACCCACUGACGGUUGAGUUUGACCAAGUGCCGUUUUUGUCAACCUUUGUAUUCUAUGUAAGUAACUGGGACGUUUAUGUGUUAAAUGUCACCAAUGUGAACUGUGUGUGAUAUAAGGGUGCUUAGGCGAGCGUGUACUUUAUCUCACUCGACCUAAACCCUAAUUUGUAUUGCAAUAGAUAUGAAUUAUGGUAUAUGAACUGUGUUGGGACUGAAUCCCUGAAGCAUGUGGCUUGGGAUGACCUUUUGUGUGUGUGUGAUGUGGAACUAUGAGUGGGCCCGAUCUAAAGGCUAGACGGACUAUUCGAGCCAGUUAGGGCUUGGUCGAAGUUAGUCCAAACUAUCCUUAAGAUCACCAAUUUUGUGAAUGCAAUUCGAAUACGAUUCGAAGCUCGAGCCAUUUGUGUGUGUAUGGAUACUGGCCAGAGUGGGCGUAAGGUGGUCGGAGGAAGAAAGCGGAGUUCUACGGACCAUUCCUUGUGGUCGACGGAGGGUCGACAGGUGAUCACGCAUGGCGAAUGACUUGGCUUUGGAGCCAAUCCGUAUCCUUGAAUUGUUUUGUUACUUUUGCUUUGAUUUUGAUGUAAUUGUGGCAUGAAUAUCUGACUUGAUGCAAAAUUUACCGUUUUGCCCCUGCUUGCUUACUAAGCUUUAAGCUUACCCGUUUUUCUUUGUUAUUUCCUUAACAGGGGUCGUACGCGGGGAUCACACUUCACGAGAGUUAUAACCCUAGAAUUUACGUUUGAAAUUAUACUAGUUGGACUUUCUAGGAUGUUUUUCUCACAGUUAGAGUUAGGACUCUGUGUAAGAUCCACUUUGUGGUUUUAGUCUUCGCUUUUGUGUGAUGUAGUGGACUGGAAUAUCCCUUUUGAAGAUGUACAUAUUGUAAAUGGUACUUUUGGAGAUGUAUAAAUGUGAAUAGUAUCUUUUGGUAUUAUGAUUCUUUUAUUGGACAAAUUUAUGUUAGAGUAAAUGUUCAGUUGUCCAAUAGUAAUGUUAUCUCUGAAAUUAAUGUGAGUGAGUGAGUCCUGGCGCGAGCUAGGCAGGCGGUCCGCCAAACCCUUUGGUACGCCUCUGGGUGCGGUGGGAUCGUUACACGCCACCUGCCAAAAAAUAUAUAUAUAAUUAUAUAUAAUAUGUAAGUUAAUUAGUUAUAAACUUAUGAUAAUAAUAUUAUUAGUUAGAUGUAUUAUAUAAUGUAUAUUAGUUUAUGUAAUAUAAUUGAUAUUAUCAAUUAUAUGAAUAAUUAUACAUGUCUACUAAUAGAAUUUAUUAAUUAGUUAUACUAAAUUUACUAAUACAUUUAUACUAAAUUUCUAAUUACACUUAAUAGAAUAACAUUUUUUUCUCAAAAAAAAGCACAAACACAAUAAUGAAUUAGUGAUUGUAUUUGUACUAAAAGUGAAAACUUGACUAUUUUAGUUAUAUUUAUUUCAUCAUAUUGGAUUGUAUUCAAAUAACUUCUGUUUGAUUGUUUUUAUGAAUUUCAAUUGUAAAAUUACAAUGAAUAAUAAUUUGUUGAUGUGUUGAUAUUUUAGUACUUAAUUAUUUAUUAAAAUUUAAAUAUAAUAAAAUUUUAUUAACCUCGCGGAUGCCCCCGCGGGGGAAGCGGGGCAGGGCGGGGGAUGGGGCGGGGGUGGGGGGAAUUAAUAGGCAACGGGACGGGGGGCGGGGGAGGGGUCCCCCGCCCCGUUGCCAUCCCUAGGCAAGGGUUGGUGGGCUGAAGCCUAGAGGAAGGAGGGAUGGUGGCUAGGAGAAGAGAGAGAUUAAUCUUGAUUCCUGAUCUUUGCCACAAGGCGUAAGCAAGUGCAGGGGAGAAUUUGGUCCGUUAACUGGAAGAGCAGGAGAGAGAGUGGUAAUUAGAAGAGAGUAAGGAUUGAAAUUGAGAGCAAGGAAGAGAGAGAGAAGGAAAAGCAAAGAACGUCCACCGAUUCAAUGAGGUUGUUUGCACCCACGUUUCCCCAAGCCGCUCAAAAAUCAUGCAACCGACAAACACCGCCAGAGUUCAUGAAAAUUGCGGAGUAACCAGGCCAUUUGCCCAAACGGACAGAAGUGAAAAUUACGGAGUAACAUUUUUUUUAUAUGAUGUAUAUGUAAUAAAAAUAUGAUUGAGAAAUAUAUUUUGUAUAAUAAUAUUUUUAAAAAAUAAUACUAUCCAAAUCCAAACACGGUCCACGUGUGCUUAUGAGUUAUGAUGUAUGUAAAAAAAAGAAAAGAAAGUUUAAAAAAGCGUAAAUGGAUGGUUGGAUGCUUCGAGGGAGGAGAUAUAAGUGAAAAAUCUUGAAUUUGAAACCAUACUGAUAGGGUGUUAAUUGUUGGUUAUUUUAUUGUUAAUUUUCCCCUUUAUCCUUGCCAAAUAUUGUUUUAAUUAUUAAUAUUUACUUAUAUUUGGUAUUGGACUCAAUUUCAGGAAGUGAAACAGAAAACUACAAAAAUGAGGGACUUUUUGGAGAUAAUUGGGAUUUCAAACAACCGGGCCCACAUGGUGCUACAAAGAGAUUGCAUUUCCUUUGCUGAUUAGGAGAUUGGAGUUCUACGGGCAAUAGGAAACUAAAAGCAAGGAAUUCGGUAGAGCCCCACUUUUGGUUUGAUUCUCAAUUCCAGCGGGGACCACAGGGAUAAGAAGCUUUAGUCAUUGUUGGCUUUAAAAAGGAGACAAACGUGCAGAGAACUCUUAUCGAUCAAUAGUUUUAGUUUAGGCUUUUAGCAUAGUUUUAGUUUUCUUUUCUUAGCUCUUUCGCAUGGUUGUUCUCCAUUAAUGGAGGACUAACCUCUUAAUUCUAGUCAAGGGGACAACUGAAGACUUGAUUCAACAAUUACUGUGAGAUCGAAAUUAUUUUAAUCGCUUCCUCAUUUAUUGGUAUUUAUGUGUUUCCUGUUUUUAAUUAUUAUAGUCCUUAUGUAUGAUUGAUUAGUGCGCAAUAAUUAAUUAUUCAUAUAGGCUAAUUUGCUAAAUAGAGGUAAUUGAAUCCGUAAUUGUUCGUUAUCUCUAUCUUAGUAGCAACUGGCGUAAUUGGGUUUAUGUCAGGGGAGCAUACGAUCUAGCUUAAACAAACCCUCGUAGCGUGUUUGUUAGUUAGGAUUGGGUCUUUCUAAUUAUUAAUGCAAUCUAGAAAUUAAAUCCUACGGUCGUACCUAGGGUUGUUUUUGGGUUAGAGAAAUAGUUAACGGUCGUACCUUAACUAUCGAGAAAUUAAGGAAAGGUUGGUUGUUUAUCGCGUGCAUGGCGACUAUAACUGGUCUAUUAAUAAAUGUGGAAUUAUCUGUGAGUCGAUGAUCAGUGCAUGAAUCAUUUCUGAAGUGUACCCUUGGCUAGAGUUUUCUCUUAAUUAUUUCUCUUAAUCAAUUAUUUCCUGCAGUUAAUUUAUUUAGUUAGUAUUUAAUCCAAAACCCCCCAUACUUUGGACUCUAGAAGAAACGAAUUAUCCCCAGUCCCUGUGGAUUCGACCCUACUAACCGCUAUAUACAAAAUCUGUAUUUUUCUCGAUUAGAUAUUUAUUAUUGUACAGGUUCGGCACCUGUCAAUUUUUGGCGCCGUUGCCGGGGACUGGUGCCAGAUUAAUUUGUUUCUUUUUGAGUUCAUCUUGUUUUUAUUUUUUUUAUUUAUUUUUCUCUUAUUUUUUUUUCUAUAUAGUUUAUGGCUUCUAACACUCCGUAUUUUGGUGAUGUACUAGAUUUUGUUUCCGGGGAAGGCGAUGAGACUAGCUUUUUUGCUAAGUUUGCAUAUUCAGAGGCAGUAAACUCUAUUAGAGAAAGAAUGGCUGCUGCAACCUGUAAAAUUUGUUAUGCCAGGGAUCAUUCAACCAGUAUGUGCCCCGAAUAUCAAGAUAAUCUGAGUGUCUCAUUCAAUAAUUAUGGAGAUUUUUCACCCUGGUCUCAAACGUGGUAUGACUCUUAUUCAAACGGGUAUGAUCAAGGAUGGUGGGAUAAUUCCAAUUAUAAUUGUACAACAGGACCAAUGAAUUUUCAGCAGUAUGAGUCUCAAGAAUCAUCAUCUAUGUCAGGUAUGUCUCUUGAAGAAAUAGUUGAAUCAAUAGCUACUAAUACAUACCAAUUUCAACAGGAGACACAAAUGAGAGAUGGAAUGAUGAGGGAGGCAAUGAGUAAUCUGGCAGAUCAAAUUGAAGAAUUGUCCUCGAAAAUCAUUGUUGAUCUGGAAGAGAAUGAGAGUGAAAUUUGCCUGACUAGUGAUGAGGAGCUGCAAGAUUUUCAAGAAGAGAGAUGUACAGAUGCAGUUGAAAAAGAAGCCGAAAAGGAAGAAAUGGAACCCCAACUGCAACCCAUUCAAGUGAAAGAAUCCAGUGAAGAAUCAUCAAAUGUGGUGACACCACCUCCAUUCCCUAACCCGCAUUUUCUUAACUCUUACUCCAUGAUUUCUGUUAAUGAGAUUGAUUUUGUUAUACCGGAAGUUUUUGAGUCUCAUUGCAGAAAUGAGUUAAGAGUAGCUAUGGUCAAAUAUCUUGAACCAUUGAAUGCUCUUGAUGGAGGAGUGGAUGAGGAAUGGAGAUCACUGCUUGAGUAUUUGACGCCAUUUACUAGUUUACAGAAGAUCGUAGCUCGUGUGUUGAAAGAUUACUCUAUUUACGAGGGCUAUCAGGACUAUAUAGAGGAUGAAACACUGAAACGAGCCUCAAGAUUUUAUCCUCCCUGAACAAACAUGACAAUGUCUAGCCAAAGACAUUAAAGAAAGGCGCUACUUGGGAGGCAACCCAAGACUAUUUAUUUUAGUUUUCAUACAUUUUGGAAAUUUGAGUUAAGUGUUAGUGUCAAUUAAUAGUUUGAUGUUUGGUGACAGGAUCUGCGGACUCUAUAGCAGUUAAGUGUGCCCCACGCCAGGUGGUCACUCCUGAGGGAAAGAAAUUUUCGUUCAGGAUCUGCGGACUCUAUAGCAGUUAAGCGUGCCCGCGCCAGGUGGUCACGCCUGAGGGAAAGAAAUUCUCGUUCAGGAUCUGCGGACUCUAUAGCAGUUGGGCGUGCCCACGCCUAAGACAGGAGUUCCUCGUUUCUCGUGAAAAAAAAAAGCAGAAAAAAUUUUCAAAGGGCACGAAGCCCUACUCUUUUCUUCUUCUUCUUUCUUUUCUUUUUCUUUCUUCUUUCUUCUUCUUUUUUUUUUCUUUUUCUCCUCCUUCUUCUUGUGUUUUCCUCGGCCGCCGUCCGCACGUCCGCCGCCAUUGACGCCCUCCAGCAGCUCCAUCGCCGCCCCUCCUCAGCCGCGCCUCUCCCCAUUUCGAUCUCUCUCUCCUCGCUGCCGUCCACCACCGAACGUCGCAGGUGUGCUCAGCUACACGCGGCCCUUGCUCCUCGCCGUAGCUGCUGUCCGCCGUGCCUCCAAGCCACCAUCGCCACCAGCCCUUCAGCCCUCCACUUGAGCACGCCACCAGCUCCUCGCAGCUUCUACCUCCACCACGGGCAGCUUCACUUCGCGGCCAGGAGCUGCCACGAGCCCGACAGAGCGCCGCCCAUCUCCCCCUUCGCUGACCAGUCCGCCGCCGCCUCUCCCUCACCAGCGGUCAACCUCGCACUUCACCAGGCGCUCCAGCUUCGCCCACAACCAGACCAGCUCGCGCGCCUCCACCACCAGCUCACGCCGCUGCCAGAUCUCCUCUCUCCACCACCACACGCGAGCUCUUCCUGCUUCACUCCUGAACAGUCACGCGACUGCAGCUAGCGCGCCACCCCCCACCAGCUCGCGCCACUCUACCCCAACCUCUUCACUGUUGCUGCUCCGCCACUCGAGCCAUUCCCACCUGUCCAAAUUGACAGGUGGAGGUAUUGUAAUUUCCUCUUCGAUUAGUGUUUUUCUGGUUCAUCAAUUCCUAAGAUUUUGCACAUUUUUUUUUUCGUGGGUUUUGUGGUGGCUGAAGCCAAUAAGUAAUUUGGGUAUUUUCUGGGUUUCAUUGUAAGGGUGCAAUUACGUCUAAUUGCUACCAUAUGUGGGGAUAUUUUCUGAUUUUUGUUAAAUUGUUGGUCGCCUGACCUUCCCUGUGUGUAUACCAGUGGUACUGGUUGGAGUUUUUUGUUUACAUUCAUUGAUUUUAUGUGGUCGCCUGUCUGAUUGCGAGCUAAUAACCUUGUACUUCUAUUGUUGUUCGCAUUUUGACCUGUGGUUGCUGAAAUUGCCAAUUUCUGGGGUCAUUUGCUAUUUUUCAUAGGUUGGAUUUCUUGUUGGAUAUAAGAGAGUGAUAUUUUGGGCAUUUUCUGGGGUUCACUUUGGGCUGAAUUGAGUUUAAUUGCUGCCAUAGUUGGGAUAUUUUCUGCGUUUUAGUGAAUUGUUGGCCGUUUGAUUACUUUUUGCCUGUGACUCACCAGUGGUACUGGUUGAGGCCUUUUGCCUAUCGGUAUUGCUGCUAUUUGAAGAUACUUGCUUAUUUUAAAGUUUAAGCUCUUGUGGUUGAGUUGCUGCCGUUGAAUUUAAUUCUUUCCUGUCUGUGCACCAGUGGUACUGGUUGUAGUGUUGCUUUCCAUUUCUUAAUCCUCUGUGCCGGACUACCUAUUUGAUUCUUGAGUUUUGGUGUCUGAACUGUUUCUAGACUUCUAACCAGUGGUCAAUUGCUAAUUUUAGCAGGUUGAAGUGGGUAAUUGACUGUCCAAUUGGAGACAGUUGUUCCGAUAUUGGGUCCGAUUGUGUCUAAUUGCUGAAAAUUGUUGAUUUACUAGGACACUAGCACAGUUCCUAGUUUGUUCGAGUUGCUGUUCUGUUGCAUUAUUGGGAGUUGUGCUCUAGUAUUGUGGCUACUUUCCUGCAUUUAUUUGUUGAAUUGGGAUAUGCAUGUGCCGUUUGCAUUUCCUUGUUGAAGUUGGUUGCUUCUAAUUCACUUGUUUGGACCACUUUGUUGCGAUUUUGGGGUCCAUUGAUUCUGCAUUUGACUAGUUUGGGACCACAGGUGCUUAUUGAUUGCCAGUGCUAUAAGUGUUGGGGUAUUUGUAUGUCCUCUGGGUGAUUGAAUUGUGCACUUUGCUCAUUGGGUUGGCUUUAAAAUUGUUAUUGCUUUGAAUUUCUGGCAUCCAUUAUUUGUUGGCAAUUGUAGUCUCUUAUUGCUUAGAGUGAUAUCGAGAGUCCAUGGUGAAGCCACGAAUGGCACCAGCUCCAGUUGUGAGUUGAUCCACAAUUUUCACCUGAACCGCCCCUAUUUUGAUGACUUCAGGGAAGUACCGUUGCCCCUCUCCUUCCUUCUGCUCUUACAUUAUCACAUUGAGGGUAAUGUGUGAAUUAGGUGUGGGGGGAUCGUUGUGGGGGGGAUCGUUGAACACCAAAUUUAAUGUUGGAUUGUUGUCUCUAAUUCUGAUAUUGCCAAGUUUUAGUAAUGAAAAGGUAUUAAGUUAAUGUGGUUGAGUUCAGGGGUAUCUCUUUGGUGAAUAUCGGUAAUUGUUUAACUUUUCCAAUUUUUGGUUAACUUUUCUAGGCAUAGGGAAUGAUUGUUAGCAUUUUUCAUGUGAAUUGGUCCAAUUAUUAAUUUUAGUUCUCCAUAUUUGGAAAUUUGAGACUGGCUGCUGUUAUUUCUGUUAUUGUGCUAUAUGGUUGUAAAUAAGAGUUGAUUGUACUCCGCUAGUGGUUACUACUGAGUAACCGGGGAUCUUCACCUAAAGUGUCGAUUCUCGCGUCAAAAGGUAGUUGUUACUAUGAGUGCGUGGUCCCGUAGCAAUUGGAGCUGAGUAACCGGGCUCCUCCAUCUGGCAAAUGUUGGAGUUCGCGUCAAAAGGCUCUAAGGGCUAUAGACUAAGUCUUUUGUUACUCAAAAAAAAAAAACAAGAAACAAAAAAAGAAAAGAAAAAAAAACAAAAUAAAGAAAAAAUAAAAUAAAGAUUGUGUUAGUAUGUGAAUAAGUCAGCUUGCCGGUUUGUGAUCUUAAUGUCGAGAUUUUGGUUAAUAGUUGGACCAUUUGCUGAUAAAUGUGAGCAACCAUUCCUUUUUCUUAGAUUAGUUUGUUUUAAAUUGGAGGAGUUGGUGGUUGAGAAGCUAACCGGAGUAGUUUUUCUUGGAUCUUAACUGUGAUGCUUGAUAUAUAUUUUUCUGGAUAUCUUGGCAAUAUGAUAGUUAGAGCAAUAGCCAUUGUCAAAUUUUGGUGUUCAAUUGCUAUUCUUAUACUUGAGGGCAAGCAUGAUUUAGGUGUGGGGGGAAUUGAUAGGGUGUUAAUUGUUGGUUAUUUUAUUGUUAAUUUUCCCCUUUAUCCUUGCCAAAUAUUGUUUUAAUUAUUAAUAUUUACUUAUAUUUGGUAUUGGACUCAAUUUCAGGAAGUGAAACAGAAAACUACAAAAAUGAGGAACUUUUUGGAGAUAAUUGGGAUUUCAAACAACCGGGCCCACAUGGUGCUACAAAGAGAUUGUAUUUUCUUUGCUGAUUAGGAGAUUGGAGUUCUACGGGCAAUAGGAAACUAAAAGCAAGGAAUUCGGUAGAGCCCCACUUUUGGUUUGAUUCUCAAUUCCAGCGGGGACCACAGGGAUAAGAAGCUUUAGUCAUUGUUGGCUUUAAAAAGGAGACAAACGUGCAGAGAACUCUUAUCGAUCAAUAGUUUUAGUUUAGGCUUUUAGCAUAGUUUUAGUUUUCUUUUCUUAGCUCUUUCGCAUGGUUGUUCUCCAUUAAUGGAGGACUAACCUCUUAAUUCUAGUCAAGGGGACAACUGAAGACUUGGUUCAACAAUUACUGUGAGAUCGAAAUUAUUUUAAUCGCUUCCUCAUUUAUUGGUAUUUAUAUGUUUCCUGUUUUUAAUUAUUAUAGUCCUUAUGUAUGAUUGAUUAGUGCGCAAUAAUUAAUUAUUCAUAUAGGCUAAUUUGCUAAAUAGGGUUCAGAUAUCUAUUGGGUUAUUGGAUGGAUAAAACCGUGAGCCUUGAUUGAGUGUGCAUGUUUGCCGGGAGUUUCUCUUUUUGUGCCUCUGCUGCAUUUUUCCAUUCAAUUGCAUCAUGGAGCUGUUGGUGGUUGUAAUGUUUUCCUGAUGCAUAUAAAGGCUUGCGUCCCUUGCUGCACUUUUCUUUCAUUUCUUUUGUUGUGGAGCAACUCAGAUUUCCAGCUUUGAUCUCGCGACAAAAAAAAUGUAAUGCUCAGUUGAGUGAAUGAUUAAGACUUGUUGUGUUUGCUUAUUUUGUUUAAAAAUCUGGAUGUUCAUUGGAUCUGUCUGCAUGAUAAAUUGGAGGAAAGCCACGGUUGGGGAAUAGAAAAGUUGCAGACGCAUGUUUUCGGUUACAGAAACUUUCAUUAUGACCUUUGCAUGAGAGAUUGCUGGAAUUUACAUUACCUCACUUUAAGUUGGUGACUUGUUGAUUUCUGUGGUAGUCGUUAGUUCCAUGUCGGUGAGUUUUGAUUGAUUAGAUGAGGUGUUAACUGUUUUAGGACUGCAUUCAAGAAACCCAUUGUAUUGCAGCAGAAAAAUUGUAGAAGCUGGUUUCGCUGUCGUUGCUUGCAUGAAAUGUAUCUGUGAGCUGCAUUUGCACUGAAACGUUAGCCAUGUUUGGUUGGGAUUAGUCCAAAAGGUGCUGUGCGAAACUGCCUGCCGAAAAUUUGUUUGAUUGCAGAAAGCUUUCAUUAGUAAUGCUUGUUGCAGAGAGUGUCUUCGGUGGCUGCAUGAAACUUGCAUGAAAAAAUUCUCAAAAUUGCACUUUGACCCCUUGGCUUCUAACUCAUGCUACUAGGACCCAAUCAAUUGAAUAAUUUCCUCAAUUUGGGCCUUGGUAGUUUUAAUUUUGCAACUUCGUUGUUUGUUUGUUUCAAUUAAUUACUAUGCUUUGCUUCAUUUGCACUUAAGUCAUGACUUUAGGGGCUUUACGAUCAAGUGAGCUUUGUUUUUGCGCAUUUCUUUUAAUUUUUCUCAAUUAAAGUGGUACCUUAACCUUUUUAUUGUUUUGAAGCCAUUUUUCUUUCAUUUGGGCAUCAACUCAAGGGAGGUAUAACUUCUUUUAUCUUUUUGUCUCUCCCCUAUGUGAUCCAACGUGCUAAGUGAGAAUUGCAUGUCUACUUUGCUUUCCUUGCUUUUUCUUAAUUCAUUUCAUUUAUUUCAUUUACUUUUGCUUUUAUCAAGUCAUUCUUUUAUUUAUUUAUGGGGUAUGUGUACACCUCUUGGCUUGUAAUAGAUAGGGCUUGGAGAGCAUUUUUGUCCAUUUUUCCCAUUCCCCUUUUGUUUUAGUUAGCGAAUGUAAUAGGUUCAUUAGCUUGAUUGCUUGCCUUUGUUGCUACGUGUUAAUUUGCUUUAUUAGGCUCUUGCAUCUAGUCGAGCAUGCUAAGUGUUAUGUGCUAUGUGUUUAUAUGUGAUUGGCAUGUCUACUUGCUUUUUAUAGUCAUAGAUGAAUGUAAUGGAUGAAUGCACGUCACCACACUAGUCCAACGCUAGUUGUGGCUUAUUGUCCCAUUUUUCACUAGUCCAACGCUAGUAGGAAUGCAUAGAUAUGGGCUAGUCCAACGCUAGACCCUUAGGGAUUUCCCUCGCUAGUUCAUACUUGCAUGUUUCACUACAUUUCAUACAUUUUUCUUAGUUUGUUCUAGCAUUUGGCAUGAUCCUCUAAUCCUUUCCCCUUCAUUUCAGGCUUUUGCAUCUUCAUGCUAGUUAUAGGGUACAUUUGCUUGAGGGUCCCCUUUCGGUAAGGGAAACGAGCGAGUGUGGCUACAAAAUAGCCUUAGCACGCUAGUUCUUUCUUCUAAUCAAAGGGAAAAUUAAAGUCAUGAGAUUAGGAGUCAUUCCCGUACCCGACUUGAUGCAUUCCUCUAGGUUCAUGCACCCUCAUUCUUAUCAUAUCACUUCCUCACUCUUUCAUCCACAUUUUCUCACUACUUAUAUCUUUCUCAAGGUUGUUUAUCGCGUGCAUGACGACUAUAACUGGUCUAUUAAUAAAUGUGGAAUUAUCUGUGAGUCGAUGAUCAGUGCAUGAACCAUUUAUGAAGUGUACCCUUGGCUAGAGUUUUCUCUUAAUUAUUUCUCUUAAUCAAUUAUUUCCUGCAGUUAAUUUAUUUAGCUAGUAUUUAAUCCAAAACCCCCCAUACUUUGGACUCUAGAAGAAAAGAAUUAUCCCCAGUCCCUGUGGAUUCGACCUUACUAACCGCUAUAUACAAAAUCUGUAUUUUUCUCGAGUAGGUAUUUAUUAUUGUACAGAUUCGACACCUGUCACAUACUUACACUAAAAAAAAAAUAUUUAAAAAAAACUGAAUUUCCAAAUGUUAUUCCACAUGACAAACUAUAAGACAUCAUCCUUGAGAUGUAAAAACCAAAAGAAUGAAUUUGGAUAGGGUAUUAUUUAAAAUAAUUUUUGGAGCACUUUUUGUGAUAUAAAUGUAUGUAUAAUAAAAAGAUAAUUCAAAAUAGAAAAAGAGAGAUUGAAAAAUAUAUUUAUGAUAUAAACAAAAUAGUAUUUGAAAUUUAUCCCAACACGUUUGUAAAAAUUAAAAUACUUUUUCUUCAUAAAGAAAAACAUGCAUAAAUAAAUAUAUAUAUAUAAUAAUUCUAAUUCCCAUUAGUUCAAUCUAGAAAAUCCAAGACCAAGACAGGAAUUUCAUCGACCCAUAUUGCCUCUCUCACUGCAAACUGCCGUAAGCAUCCCUUGUGGAGGUUGAUAUUCCACAUCGGGGUUUAGGGGGUUUGGGGUAGUUUAGAUAAGUUCCCUGUGCGCCCUCAAGAGUUACCGGCUUUUGAGGUUCUCACGGGAUUAGGGUUUGUCAAAGCUAUCAAAAGUCCUUUGGGUUUAGAAAAAAGACAUCAGCCUCAUUCACCGGGGGGGUAACGGGCCUCUUUAGGUUUAGCCCACUGUCGGGCAGGCUCCCUUGUGGAGGUUGAUAUCCCACAUCGGGGUUUAGGAGGUUUGGGAUAGUGUAGAUAAGUUUCCUGUGCGUCCUCAAGAGUUGCCGGCUUUUGGAAUUCUCACGGAAUUAGGGUUUGUCAAAGCUAUCAAAAGUCCUUUGGGCUUAGAAAAAAGCAACGAGCAACUUGAUGUGCAUUGGUCCCAACGGAUUGGAGAAUUUAGAAAAAUGCAACUUUAAAUAUGCUACUACUGGAUUUGAUUGUGAUCGGAUCUCAACCGGCGGAGCAAAUAGGUCUGGUACCAAUUGCCAAUUGGAACUAACAAGAAGGUUGUUGAGAAUUGCGACAGGGGUCCCACACAGCAACAGCAAAUUGAAGUACUGACUUAAAAUGGCCCGCUUGGGCAAAUGGCCCAAGUUACAAUGCAAGAGAGCCACGCGGACAAAAGCAAAAUACCAGCAGAGCCGCUGCCACCCAUCAGCAAAAGACCAAAACGCCCCUCAAGGUCACACAAAUCACGGCAUAACCGGUCCACCAGGCACUGUUCACAAGCUAUUCGUGCUUCAUAUAUGUAAGAUUUGGGGCAAACUCCUUAUAAAUUUUAGUAGUGGGAGCCUUUUCGUAUUGUUCUAAAAUUCCUAUUAAUUUUGUACAUUUGUGAUCAAUUUAAUAUCAGAUUUUAUAGCAUAUUGGCUGUUGCUCCAAAUAUAUAGGAGAAGGAUUAGCAGAGCACUUAUAUUUUUCAUAAGAAGUAACAAUCAAAAUUUCCUUUAAAGAAAAAAAAAAAAAAAGCGAAGAGGACUUCCUUUCUCCAUAUAAAAAUACUUUUUUUUUAAUUUGUUGUAAUCAAGUUGCUAACUAACUUGCUAUUAAUAUCCAAUAUAUUACAAAAUAAACAAGAAAUUAUACACAACAAUCAUUGUGCACAAUGGAUCGAUUAUAGCGUAAUUCCCAGCAACUUGGGGGGUCUUUUGUUUUGUUAGGGGUAGUCCGCUGGGUGCACGCGAACUUCGUGGGAAAGUCGUUGCCAAGCUGUCCGGUUUACAUAAAGGUUGGGAUUUUAGUAUUUUACCAUGGAAUAUGUUGUCUACUUUUACUUUCGACCGUACUCAAAUAGGAUAGCUGUCAACUGAAUAAUACCGUUUUGACAAUAAAAAAAAAAAAAGACAAAUUAAUAGAGGGGUCCUUUUCUAUGUGUACUAGGGGUUUUUUUAGGGAUAAUUUCAGAAACCUCCACUGAGGUUUCUAACAGUUUCAUUUGUCACUUUCAAACUUUAAAAAAUUUCACUUAUCUCUUUUACUUUAAAUUUUUUAUAUCAUUUACAAUUGUUUUUAAAAUGUAAUAUUAAAAAAGACAUUUUGGGAGAGUAAAUAUACUCUCAUUCCAAAUUUGCUUUUUUGCUGUCUUUCUUUUUAUUACCAAAACAGUAAGCAUAUUAUUAACAAAUAAAAACAAAAAAAAUGAAUGAAUGUUUAUUUUGAUUGGAUAAAAUAUAUUGUAUUUUUUGAAUACCAAAAGUUAAUAUUUUAAAGUUUAUUUGAAUUUUUUUGCAAGUUAUAAUGAUAAUAUUUUUUUAAUGUGAAGUGUUUUAAGUUAAUUUAAGAAGUUUUGUAAAUCUUUUACAUAUUUUUUAUUUUUCUAAUAUUUUUCCAAGUCAAUGGUUUGAAAAGUAAAAGGAUACAGCAUCAUAAAUUUAUAUAUAAACUUGUUUGUGUUUUUUUUUAAGCUGGCAUAAAGGUAUUCUCGUAGUUGUAAAUUAUUACUAGUUAUUUUUAAGAAUAUUGUAAAUCAUUUAUAAAUUUAAGUAACUAGCAUUUCUUGUUCGAAUCAAUGACACAAAAACAUUAAAGAGUUUUUCAAUCUCACAGUCAACUUUUGUUAAAGAACUACAUCGAUCAAUUUACAAAAAUUAAGAGAUAAAUUUGAUGUGUUAUGAUAAUUAAGAAAUCACAUGAAAAGGAUAAAGUUGGAAUGAAAUUGGAUUCUCUUUUCCAAAAUGAGUUUUUUAAUAUUAUAUUCUGAAAUGAGUAUCAAAUGUUACAAAAAGUUUAAAGCAAGGAAAUUAAGCGAGAUUCCAACUAGUAUACUAAGGAAGACAAAAAAUCGGCAAAAAAAAAAAAAAAAAAAACUUACCUUUGAAGAAGUUGCCUGCCUAACCUAACACACGGGUCCAACCAGUACACUGGGGAAGGACAAGAAAUCAAUAAUAAAAAGCUGCUGUUCAUGUGAUUUUGUCGCGAAACUCGUUACCAAGAACGUACGUGCUACUGCAUUCAUUAACCCAGUCUGAAGGAAUGCAUGCAUGCAUCAAAAUCAGUCGGCAACAGGGCCGCUCCACUAACUGCUUCGGACGGCCACCACCUACCGUUUCAACUCUAGCACCUAACGUUCCUAAAUGAUGAUCAAAAGACCCCCAAGUUGCUGGAAAUUAUGCUAUAAUCGGUCCACAUUCACUGUUCACAAGGCAACUCACUCUUUCAGCGUAAUGAUAAAUUAGACUCGUUUUUCAGCCUUUUGCUACCGUGUCUUUGUGUUUUUCUUCUUCGUUCGAUACGGCAGUCAUGUGUGUGCUUGUGUGUUUUUUCCCCGCUACACAGGCAAACAAGACCUUUGAAAUUAGGUUAUUUAACAUUUUUAAUGUAGCAUUAAUAAGUAAGUAAUGCCUAAAAUUAGGCAGAACUAAUUGCAUAUGGCUAUACAUGUGAAUGUGUAGCCUUGCUCAUUAGUCACAUUACUCCUCUAAGAUUAAGCGAUUUGACAAUUUCUUUUUCUUUUUUUUUUUUGACAAUUUCAGUUCGCUAGCAUGUACUUCACAUUUAAUACUCUAACGGAAGGAAGAAAGAAAGAAAGACAACCAUAAAAUGGGUUUAUCAUUUUGUUCUGUUUGCUUGUCUUGAAUAAGCAUUCAAGCAUAUUUAAAAAGCCUUUCAAACCAACGUAAAAUUGAAUUAGCCUUUUUUAUAUAUUCAAUGGAUUUUUUUUUUACCUUAGUAGGUUUGGAUACAUGACACAUAAUUUUUAUUCAAAAUAUAGAUUUCUAUAUUGUAUGUGUAGCAUGCAACCAAAUUUACUUGUGCAAAAGAGUUUCUAUGGAAUAGAAAAGAUUAAAUUUUUAAAAUUUGAAAUAAACAAAUCACGAAAAUUGAGAUAUUUGAUUUGAUUGGUCAAUUGAUAGAAGAAAGAAAAAUUAAAAAAGGAAUUUGAUUUUAGGAGAGAAAAAUGAUUAUAAUAUUUGAUUUGAUUGGUCAGUUGAUAGAAAAGAUUCGAAUACUCUUCAGUGGGUAAAUCCAAAUGUGCAAUUGCUUAAUAAAUUCUCUUAAAUUGAUUAUUCCAAAUAGAAAUUGUAUUCUGAUCGAAAAUUAUGUAGCUUAUUUGUGCCAUGUAAUAAAGGAAAUUCCAUCUCUAGUUGGGUGUUUCGAUUCGGAUAGGAAGAGAGUAAUGCAUCCCACGGGCCAGCUCAAGAAAAGAGAGCUUUGGCAUAUCUCUUUUCUCUCUUGCUUAGUUUUUUUUUUUUUUUUUUUUUGUUUUUGGAAGGAUGUUUUGACAACAAAUUCAAUCUCUAAUCAUCUAACCUUUAUAAAUCGUUUACUUUAAAUUGCCAAAUUGUACAUACAUGUAACGGGACCAUGGACAACUUUUAAGAAUAAAAAAAAAAAAGAAAAGAACAAAAAGGAUUACUACAUAAAUUGUACUCGACAAACUAACCUAAUUAUUAUCAAAAUUAUUUAUCACUUGAACUGGACUGUUGGACAAACUGGUACCAAGAAAGAUACAAAAAAAAAAAAAAAAACCCAGCCCACAUAUGAUUUUUUUUUUUCUCUUUUUGGUUAAUCCCAGAUGGGGUAGUUUACUAAAAUGUAGGAGAGGCAAAAACCUGACCUCCAAUCGUAUGUAUAUGAGGCCUGCGCAUGAUUAAGAUCAUCGUUAUUUUCGUUGUGGAUGUAGAGAGUUAUUUGGGGCAAACUUAUUAGCAUAAACUUUAGCAGUGGGGGCCUUUUUGGUAUUGUUCUAAAAUUCCUAUCAAUUUUGUACCUUUGUGAUCAAUUUAAUAUCAGAUUUUAUAUCAUAUUGGCUGUCCUGUUUACAUAAAGGUUGCAAGUUUAGCUGACAAUCUCGUUUGUCACCUUCAAACUUUAAAAAAUGUCACUUGUCUCCUUUACUUUAAGCUUUUUAUAUCAUUUACAACUCGUUUUAAAAUGUAAUAUUAAAGAAUUCAUUUUGGGAAAGUAAAUAUACUCUCAUUCCAAAUUUGCUUUUUUUGUUGUCUUUCUUUUUAUUCCCAAAACAGUAAGUAUAUUAUUAACAAAUAAAAACAAAAACAAAAUGUAUGAAUGUUUAUUCUGAUUGGACAAAAUAUAUUGUAUUUUUUGAAUACCAAAAGUUAAUAUUUUAAAGUUUAUUUGAAAUUUUUGCAAAUUAUUAAGAUAAUAUUUUUUUUACUGUAACUGCUUUGAGUUAAUUUAAGAAGUUCUGUAAAUCUUUUGCAUAUUUUUUAGUUUUCUAAUUUUUUUCCAAGUCGAUGGUUUGAAAGUAAAAGAUACAACACCAUAAAAGUGAUAUAUAAACUUGUUUGUGUCUUACUUUAAGCUGGUGCAAAAGUUAUUCUUAUCGUUGUAAAUUAUUGCUAGUUAUCUCUAAGAGUAUUAUAAAUCAUUCAUAAAUUUAAGUGAUUAGUAUUUCUUGUCCGAUCCAAUGACACUAAAACAUUAAAGAGUUUUUCAAUCUUACAAUCAACUUUUGAAUUUUUAUUAAAGAACUACAUCGAUCAAUUUACAAAAAUUAAGAGAUAAAAUUGAUGUGUUAUGAUAAUUAAAAAAUCACAUCAAAAGGAUAAAUUUGGAACAAAAUUGUAUUCUCUUUCCCAGAAUGAGUUUUUUAAUAUUAUAUUCUAAAACGGGUUUCAAAUUUACAAAAAAGUUUAAAGCAAGGAAAUCAAGCGAGAUUUUUCAAAAUUUAAGGGCACCAAGUGAAAAUGCUACACACCUCAGGGGAGGUUUCUGAAAGUAUACCCUUUUUCAUUCAAGACUUCAGAAUAGGCUUUCAUGAGCAAUGAGCCAGCAUGCAGUAAGUGGGUGGCACAUUUUGAUCGAAGUAGUACAGAAAUUCUGCAGUUGUAGCUAUACGCUCAUUUGGUGGUGGACCGAACAGUAAUUCUGCAGUUGUGCAUUUGUUCAUAUCUUUCUCAUCAGUAAACAACUAAGCAUUGAAAACAACUAAUGGGUAAAGGCCAGCUAAGCAUUGUCCCUUCACCGUUCAGUGAACUGAAUGGGGCAGUCCAAAUUCACUAACUCCGGCUUAACACAGCAGCAGCAGUAAACCAAGUAUCUCCUCUCAAGAUAAUGUAAUAAUCGCAUGGACAAUGUUACAAACACAUGGUAUACCCACGGCGCAACUAUGGUGGUUCUAACUAGUAUACUAAGGAAGACAAAAAAUCGGCAAAAAAAAAAAAAAAAAACUUACCUUUGAAGAAGUUACCUACCUAACCUAACACAGGGGUCCAACCAGUACACUGGGGAAGGACAAGAAAUCAAUAAUAAAAAGCUGCAGUAAAGAAGAUGCCUAGCUGUUCAUGUGAUUUUGUCGCGAAACUCGUUACCAAGAACGUACGUGCUGCUGCAUUCAUUAACCCAGUGUGAAGGAAUGCAUGCAUGCAUCAAAAUCAGUCGGCAACAAGGUCCCCCCCACUAUAACUUCUUUGUACGACCACCACCCACCAUUUCAACUCUAGCACCUAACGUUCGUAAAUGAUGAUCAGCUGUCAAAUUUUGAAUUGGAAGCAAUCCAAGGGUGCACAGAAGAUGGCUGGACCAUUUACCACGAAGUUCGCGCUUAGCUAACAGAACAAAAGACCACCAAGUUGCCUACCCGGACGCCAUGCGUCAGGUACCUAGAUUCGUUAUUUUGCUGCUGUGUCAUGUUUGUGGUGUGUUUUUUCCUCACUGUACGGAGAAACAGGACCUUUGAAAUCAGGGUUAUCUAACAUUCUUCAUAUAGCAUUAAUUAUUGCAUCGUUAAGCCAACGUUGGACUUAGACUGUUAAGUAAAAUUAAAUUCAAUUAAAUUGAUCAAUUAUACUUUGAACUUUAAUGUAUCUAAUAGGACGUGGUUCUUUAUUUAAAGGUAAUUUAUAUUUCUAUGAUGGGUUGAAAUUGGAAUCUAAAAGAUAAUAGUAAAAUUAUCUAUAAAUAGGGUUACGAUACCCGAGUUACACGUAUUCCUAAAUAAGUUUAUGCUAACGGUGAUAAAGCUAACGGUGAUAAAAGACACGUUAGUUUUAUGUUUAGUGGAUUUUUUUUUUAUUUUACAUUAGUAGGUUUGGAUGCAUGACACAUAAUUUUUUUUUCAAAAUACAAAUUUCUCUUUUGCAUACAUAGCAUGCAUCCUAUUUUACUUGUGUAAAAGAGUUUCUAUAGAAUAGAAAAUAUUAAAUUUAUAAAAUUUGAAAAAAAAAUCAUAAAAAUUGAGAUAUUUGACGCUGGCUCGGCACUAAAACCAACUUUUGAACCAAGAAAAACCAACCCCAAACGCAAAGCUAAAUCACAAACGGAGGCAAUAGAAUCAAGUCAUCGAGAUCUGCAAACAUGGCUAUAGAUUUUUUUUUUUUUUUUGGGACGUGCAAGACCUUCAAGCACUGUUAGCCGUCCCAAUCAAUUUUUUUUUGGGACAUACAAGACCUUUGAGCAUUUCGUUACUUGUGGUUUGGAAAAACUCUCACGUUGUUUAUAUUAAUUUCAAAACUUGAAAUCGACAUCCUAAAGGUGUAAGGGCGAAUCUUUUUGCCUUAUAUAUUCUGGACAAGUUGCAAAUAUGAAGCAAAAGAUUUAGGUCGGAAGAAAAAAAGGUGUGAAGCAGAUGAUUAUGUAACGAUUUGACAUUAAAAAAAUGCAGGCAUCUUCGUACUGUGAGAAAUGAGUAACUUUAGAUUGAAAAAGAAAAUUAGAAAAAAGAUUAUGUAGCGAUUUUAUAUAUAUACAAGCCCACCGCUCCACAUGGGCAUCACUGAUCUCUAAAGAAGCCCAACCCAGGAAACACCAAAAGGCCCCAACACCCCUGCAAUUCACAGAGGCAACAACAUAACCAAACCACUGCAACUGUUCACUACUGUUUAUAUAUUCAUCCCCACUUUUACAUAGGUAAGGUAAGAUAUAUACUCUCUUUAUAAUUUUUUGGCAUAUGCGUGUGUGUGUGUAGAAUAAGCUUAUGACAUAGGUAGAAUUUCAGCAUUCAAAUCCAACUUAAAAUAUUUGUUUUGAGCAAACAAGGACGGAGUCUAAAUAAUUGGACUUGGAUAUUGAGAUUUCGAUUUUGGUGUGACAUUAUGAUAUCGGAGCGAAUCUUCUGUAAUAUCUGCAUGAGAUGAGAUUGGGUCAGAGGACGCAAAGCCUAAAAAAGAGGGAUAAAAGUAAUACCCCAUCUCACGUCGAAUAAGUUAGUGCUAUAAACUAAUACAAUACACAAAUAGUGUGUGAGCAUUCAAAUCUAAUUUAAAAUAUCCAUUUUGAAUUAGUGAGAAUGAAAAUCAAAUAAUUGGACUUGGCUGCUGAAACUCAGGUCGCGUCUUGGGCAUACGUGCCUAGGGCGUCACAGGACUCAGACUGAUAUAUAAGUAGAGGUGGCAAUUUGGAUUGAAAUCCAUUUAUCCAUCCAUAUAAUCCAUAACUAAAUGGAUUUGGAUUAUCCAUUUAUAAUGUUGGUUUUAAAUGGAUGACCAAAGUAAAACCAUUAAAUUAAAUGGAUUUAUAUGGAUUAUCCACAAAAAUCAUAUAUAUCCAUUUACUUAAAAACUAAAUAAAAGAAACCUGUUGCAUGUUUUUCAACUCUAUCUCAUUCCUCUGUUCUUUAGUGUUGGCUUCCUCCGCGUUUAUUCCACCGGCCUUAUGAACACGUUGAUGAUGAUGGCAACUAGCAGCCGCCAUCAAAUCAUAAACGUGGUGUCUCAAUUUCUGCUAAUUCAAUGAUAUACUAGUUCCGACCUUUUAACUCUUUUACCGCAGUGAAAAUGUUUAAUUUUGGACAGAAAAUAAAGAAAGCAACUAGUGCCUUGCCUGCUUAAGUCUGUGCUCAGCAGUGACAAAUACAGAAAGACAGCCUUUACCUUUCCAGUAUGACCAAAUGCUUGUGUUGCAUUCUGGUUUUAAGCCAACUUAAGGAGCCAACUUAAGGAUUAAGCCUUGAUGGGUGGGAGAUCAAGAGUUUAAAUAUUACCUCCUAUUAAUUGUCACAAUAUGUGAUUUUUUUCAAAAAAUUCAUACGGGUGUGGUUUAGUCCUCCGUAAGCCCAGUUGAACCUCUCUCCUUAGAUUAUGAUGUGAUUUAGUCCCCAUUAAUCCCUCAUUAAUUACCAUAUGGCUAUUUGUACAACAAUCUUCAUGGUUAGUUCCAAUUAUUUUUGUCAUUUAUUGAUUUUUGUCAUUUUCAACACCUAAAAUUUACAAGUACAUAAAAAAGUAUUUUCAUAUUAUAAGAAAUGGUAAUAAAAAAAAAGUAACCAAAAUAUUUAAAUGGAUUAUAAAUGGAUAAUUGGUUUUUAUUUAAUCCAUUUAGAUCCAUCCAUUUAGAUCCAUUUAAUAAAUGGAUCUAAAUGGAUUGGAUAAAUUUCAUCCACCAUCCAUUAAGUCAAAACCAAUUAUGAACCAUUUAUCCAUAUUGCCACCUCUAUACAUAAGCAUCAAAGAACGGUCAAGGCCCCAAGCGGAUGAAGAACCUCAUAUAUUUACAAGGCUGAAUAUAAAAAACGGUUAUCUACAAUAUUCCAAACACUUUUAUACCAACUGAAGCACGUACCGUUGAAAUCUAAACGGCAAGACACUCAAUUUGGGUAGAGAAAUGUCUCUGUUGUUGUUCAGGAAAAUUGUCAUUUUCUUGAAUAAAAUAGCAAUCUGAAGCAAGUUUAGAUUACAAGAAUCCUCUUAAACAGCCGUAGUAUGAGACUGGUAUGUAAAUAACCAGGCAGCCUCUCCAAGUACGUACUCAAGCUAUGUACAUUUUACCUAGAACAUUUUCCCUAUUGCUACAGAGCUAGAAAUAAGGAUGGCAAUAGGGGUGUGGAUUGGGGCAAGGCGGGUUCGGGGGAAGGAAUUUUUUCCCCCGGUUUAGAAAUGGGGUAGGCCCUGCUCCAUCCCCUACCCCGCCACUCGCUACCACAACCACCCUCGUGUGAACAGAUCCACAAUGAGAAUCUCAUUUUCAUGUAGCUAUUUUCUUUAAGUUUCAACAGAAGUUAAUGGAACAAGAAUCAAACUUCUCAAACCCUACUUGGAUGUUCAUCCAAAUAUCAGUAGUACUAUUAAUUUUAUCAUCAAUUAUGGUUUUCCAACUUCUCUUGAUUUUCGGGGCUUUCAUUCUUCUCGUUAAAAUGCCGGCCUUGUUCAGUUAAUUCGUCCGCCUGAUUUUUCAUCUUUCAAUCAAGAAACGGUUCAAAAAUCCCUCCGGUUGUUCCCUUCUCUGUAAUGCAAUGAAAUCAUUAAUUGUCCAAUGAAGUCAUGGGAAGAAACUCGGUAACUGGUUGGGAACCUGGUAUACAAUUUCAAAGAUUCUCCAGCCGAUAAAUCAAUUAAUUAACAAUAAGAUUAAUUAGAAGUCCAGAUUAAAGUUGCGGUAUUCCUAGCAAGAUCCUUCUGCUUUGGAGUGAAAUCUGCUGCUACUUGAAAUAUGGUUGAGAAUGCUUGUCAUAUCAUAGAAAUCAUUUCCAAUUAAUUAGGUAGUGCUCUUUUUCUAUAUUGAUUCAAUGAAACAACAAAAGUAAUUUUUAAACUUUUUUUAUUUUUAUUUUUUGAUGAUCAUAUUUUUCAAGUGAACCUAAGACGUACAAGCACAAAUGAAAGACUUCAAAGUCAAAUACGAGUUUCGAGUUUCAAAACACGAUAGACUUACCAGCUGAACCCGGUUGGGUCUCGUCUCGUGGAGCAAAGUAUUUUUUUCAUGAAAUAACGGAUCUAUAAAUAAAUUCAGCAAUAGCCCACAAGUCCACAAACUAGACCAAGAAUCGAUGAGGUCCCUACUUACCAUUUUUCACUUUCGUAGUUAAGUUUCUUGCGGAAAGGCCCAGAAGCUUGUCAAACCCAACCUUAUUUUAUCUUAUACUCUAUUGGCUUUUAUUGAUAAACAAGUAGGCUUCUAUUAAAAAGAGUAGGCGUCUAUUAAACUCCAACUAUAUUUCAAAAAAAAAAAAUUAUUGGAGUCUUGUAUUUUUUGGAUGGAAAAUAAUUCAAUCCUUUUCAGGAUGUCAAGUGUAUUAGAGCGUCAUAUAAUGUUUCUCCCUAAUUUCAAACUUUGUAGAGGGAUUUUUUUUUUUUGGAGUCCUCACAAUCAACUUCUUUUACAAAUCUUUUCUUUUAUAUCCUUUUGUCCCCCCAAGUCCCAAUUGAGCUAUUAAAAAAAAAAGCAUUUUUAUAAAACAUGUCCCGUCAAAGGCGUAAUCUUACCAUGUUAAAAUUCAGAACUUUAAACAAACGCCUUUAUUAUUGGAUUUUCCCCUCAUAAAAGUUGCUAGCCUUUUUCAUCUUUUCCAUAAAACAAGUUUCAACUUUGAAUCUUUCAUCAAAUUAAAUAUAACUACAGCUUGUGCUAUUUUUAGAACCUCACUUUACUCAAUAAUUUGACAAGUUAUUGUUGACUUUUGUUUAUUGUUCAAGUAGUGAAAUUUUUAGGAGGAUAAAAUUAAGAAAAAAAAAGAUGAUAUAAACUAAUACACAAGUAAACCUUCUUUUCUACCAGAGCUUUCCCGAAUAGUUGUUUCCCGAAUGUUUUAAACAAAGAUGCAUAGAGCAACUUGAAGCAGAUCUGAAAAUUAAAAUUGAAGAGAAAAUCUGACUACCCAACGUUUUGUAAUGGAGUAGCUUACUUUUAAUGGAACCUUUUUUUUGUUUAAUACCAAAAAAGGGUUAGUAUGCACAUAGCCCUUGUUUAGUACAGUUUAUGACACGAGAUUUAGUUGCAAAAAAAAAAAAGUUUAUUUAAAAAAAAUCCAAUAAUUAUGCAAUGCAAGCUCAUCUAGAUUUCUUCAACUGGCAAAAGUACAUUAGUUCAUACAAUGUUCGUAAAAUUUCAAAGGAAAACUUUAAUUUCACAAAGUGCGGCCUAUGAAUAGAUUCACGGAGCGCUUUUACAAAUUGUCUUUGCACAUAAUCGGAAACUGAAGAAGACGUGCAUGUACAUUAUUACGUAAAAAAGGGUCUAAGUCCGGAUGAGCCGAAAAAGUAAAAAUAAUAAAAAAAAAAAACCGAAGGAAACUUUGUCCCAAUGGGUACCCAUUUAUUACUCAAAUAUUCGCAUUAGUUGUUUGAGAUAAUCCCAUUUAAGGCCCAAUUAAUCUGUUAGAGUCUAUCCUGCACAAAAUCCCUGGGACAUGGACAGGUCAUUCGGACUUGAAAUCAUUUGCCAUCUUUAGUUGUUUGAAACCAUCAAAUGGGUGGAGAACACGACAUCACUUGUUAUAUUUGACAAUUGAAAGGGAAAGAUUACCACCAAACUAAAUUACAAUCAUAUGAGCCAGAAUUUGGAAUUUGAAUCAAAAAUCAUAUCCCUAAGUACAGAAUUUGGAAUCCAGUAGUUCACUUUUCAUACAACCGAUCAAACGUUUAAAUUAAAUUGUAAAAUUCUAUGAGCCAUUUUUCGUUUUCGUUUACAGAAAAAGUCCAAUUCUACAACAUGGAACUUGUACAUACAAUUAUGCUAACCUCACUUAAUAUUUCUUGGCAAGGAUGAAAAGAUUAACCAUCAAAUGAAUGUUCUUUUUAAAGAAACUUGGUGCAUUAUAAGUUCAGAUUGAUACACAGAAGGAGCUAUUUAGCAAGAAUUAAGAUUGAACAUCUUUUUCUGAGCCCUUGAGUUUAUGUGACAAUGUUCACCUUUGUUUCUCUUGCUUGUCGCCACAAGCACUGGUUUGUCAUUCCUUUCAUUUUCUCCAAAAUUAAUUAUUUAUCUUAAUUUUCCAAAUGUGUGGUAACUCAAUCACUGGGAGUUCCUAAUUGGUUAUCCUGGAUUUGCACCGUGCCAAGUCCAAUGUGUGGUAUCUCAAUCAUUUUACCGUAAAGAAGUUCUUUGAUUUUCGUUGUUUCAUUGCUUCGCACGUGAAUUGAAUAUUUGUCUGGAGAAUUAUGCAGCUAAAACGGGAAAACACUUCAAGGACAGAAAACCAUAGACCGUGAACCCCAAAAAAAGGGGCAAAAAAAAACCGAUAACUAGUCCCGGUUACCUUGAAAUGCUGGAAAACCAAAAAGCUUUUACCAAAGAAGUUGCUGAGACUGAUGAUGAGCUUCCAAACCAGGAAAUUCCUUGAAACUUUCCCCUUUUUUCUGCUUCAACUUUGUGGACUGGUAUUGAUUAACAUUGCAAGUAGGGAGAUGAAUGAAUGAGGAAGCAGUCAAAUUAGUGAGAGCGGAUAAAAAUUGAGAAUUUGGCUUGGGUUCCAACGUCCAGAGACGUGGACGUACAAUUUCAAGGAGAAAAGUCAGUGAAAUUUUUUAAACAUACAUUUCUUUUGUGUCCUUUCCAGCCUAGCCUUUUCUAUAUAUGGCAUCAUCAACCAUGACUUGCUGAUGUAUAUGAUCAGUAAAGAAAAUUUAUAGAUAUUAAAUCAAGAGAAAAGAAAACAAAAAAUCAAAAGUCAGCUUUCAAAAUUUUCUAUAAACUUAUCUGUGGCUUAAAUAAGGCAAGAAUUGAGGCAAAUCUUGGUAUGCUAUUGAAUUGAAAAUGCUGAAAAUCACGACGAUCACAAGAAUAUGAACUGCAAAAAUUUGUGACGUCGACCAAGCUGAAGGACUUCUCACCUCAAGGUUCGCAUUCCCUUAUAUCUUGCAAAUAUAUUGCUUUGGGUCACUUUUCCAAACAUUACUCGCGGGAUUUUUUUACUUCCAUAAAUUUGUGGAUCAUCAUGGUGUGCAAUCUGCUGAGAACUGAUUUCCUUUAGUAGUUGACUUGAAAGGUAAUAGUUUCAACAAAUAGUCCAAUAUCAUAUAUAACAUUUAUCUUUCUCUUUAUGCUUUGAUCUAUAAGAUAUCAGACUUUUUCUUUAUAAAAAUAAAUUUAGCAAAUGAUUGUCAAUUUUGUCUUACCUUUGAUUAGUUUACCACACACAUUCUCCAGUUGCGAUCUCAAUGUAACAUGUACGCAAGCAGUUUCUUUUCCUUGUUGGAUACUAUAAUAAUGUCCUCUGUAGCUGAUGGCUUGUUAACUUGAGACUUCAGCCAGCUAUUUGAGAAAUUCUCCUCUUUUUCUUGUUUUUUCCUCAUUCCUUUCGUCUCUCAUAGCAUUUGACUUUCUAUGUUGCAGGUAAUAUACUUUCUGAGAUUCCCACAGCAACAUCUGCUCAGCUAGGUAGGAGUACCUGCUGAUGUUCUAUUAACAAUAGCAGGUCAUUUCCUUUAUGGAAAUGAAAUCAAGGGUAAAUUACAUUUUACCCUCCUGUGGUUUUCGCAAAAACCACAUAACCCCCUCAUGAUUUUAAAAGCUAUACAUAAAUCCUCUGUGGUUUGGGUUGAAGUGUCAAAUAGACGGAAACUACCUAUCGUAACGAUUUGUGGGCGAAAUGUCCAAAUUACCCUAAUAUAAAUACAAAAAAGGCAACAACGAACACGGCCGGGGCUUCCCUUUCCUUUCAUUACUUCUUUCUUCACAACGAAAGGAACCGCGUCCGCAACAGUCAAAGUGGUGGAAGGCCCACCAGAGUCAAAGGGAGAGCUUUCUGCACCUCUCUUCAAGAGAUAGGAUUCCGGUUUCUGCAUCUUUCUUUCUCCCAUGCUUUUCCGUUGGUCAACUACCAAAAAAAGCCAUUUCUGAAACAAGAGCUCUAGUCAUGGUUUCAUGCUGUAUGGGAGCUGCUGAUUGUCCCUGUCUAGGCCCCCACCAGUGAUUCCAUACUGCCCUUCUCCAUUGUUACCUUCGCUGCCAUGACCAGUACUACUGCUGCCAUAUCUUAAGCCAGGGCCCCUGCACCAGCCCCUGCCGUAGCCAUAGCUGCUGUCCCAACUCCCUUGCCUGCUGCUUGCACCAAGACCAUAGCUACCACCAUUCCAUCCAUCACCAUUACCGCCGCCAUUUUGACCAUAUUUACUGCCUGGACCACCACCUCCACCCGAUCCGACCCACCACCAUUACCACCUACAGAGCCAAAUCCACUGCCGUCAUUGCUGCCUCCGCUUCCAGCCCCAUAACCACCACUAUUACCAUCAACAGAGCCAUAUCCAUUGCCGUCAUUGAAAGAGAUAAGGAGCACAGAUCUAGGCUUUAUUGUAUCCGUUAAAGUGGUCAAGGGUAAUAUGGGAACGUUUCUUACUGUUACCAGUAGUACAAGCGCGUGUAAGACACGAAUCGUCACGAUGGAUGUUUUCCGUUUAUUUGACACUUUAACCCAAAUCACAGAGGGUUUAUGUAUAGCUUUUACAAUCAUAGGGGGGUUAUGUGGUUUUUGCCAAAACCACAAGGGGGUAAAAUGUAAUUUGCCCUGAAAUCAACUAGCAUUCAGUUAAAAGUUCACUAAAUUGAGUAAUCCUUUUUUUAGCAGAUAUUAUCCUUCUUUCUAUGUCAUCAGGCACUUAAAGAUGACCCUUUGACCCCUUAAAACAAUGAAAAAAACGGAUGUCCUGACUUUGUGAUAUUUGUUAAUCAUUUUCAUUAGAAGAAUAAUUUUAGGUGAAUCACCAGCUGAUGUGGUUACAUUAUCUGAAACCACAUUCCUUCCUUUACCUCAUCGUACAGCAGCUGAUGGUAUAUUUCCUGCCCUAGACCAAUUUCUGUUUGUCCUUUGUUCCUUUAUUGGUUGCAUUUAACCGAGUUCUUUGCGGUGUGAAGACUCUGAAUUAGGCUCAAACUGAAAUCAAUUAACUAUAAAUUGGAAAAUAAUUAGUUAUGAUUGUUCCUUGAUUGAAAGUUCUUAACCACGAUUUUUCCUCUUCAUAACUGGCCAUCUCAAACAUACUGUGAUUUUUCACAACAAUAGUCAAUACCAUAUCAGAUGACAUAUAAAGUGCAUGGCUCUUGCAAGACAAAACUGCAUCUGAUUUUUUUUUUUGUUUUUGUUUAAUACAGUUGUUUCUGAAAAGGAAAAAAAAUCAUUCCAUUCAAGUUUGAUCUGUUUAUAACCAAAGAAGUACAACAUAAAAGGCUCAAGUCACAUAGAAAAGUUGAUGUAAAAGCUUCUUCUAUUCAUUUAUUCUAAAUGUAGAUACUUAACUCCAGAAGGGAUUUAAAUGUUAUUCUGAUCCUUCUUUAACAUGCACGUACAAUCUAUAAUUGCUAAAGAAUUAUCAGUGGAACUGGAUAUAUAAUUGCUUGAAAUAGAAAUCAGAAAAAAGCACAUACAUAUAAUGGUUUAAAUUGAUAUUGUGAAAAAACAUUCUUGGAGUACGUUUUUGUUGAUAAUCAAGGAAUAGUCACAAAAAACUGUAUCACUGCUCUAGUUACAAUCAAGUAUAGAAAAAACAUCGUCUAGGUAGGGAUAGAAAGCUAAACAUGAUGAAAAACAGCAACUGUAAUACAGCUAAAGAAGAAGCAUGUACUGAAAGAAAUUUGGCGCUGGUGGACAAAGCUUCAUUUAACACUUGUUUUUGCAACAUAACCUCUCUUGCGGCGGCAAUUUUGUGGCUACCUGAGAAAUAUUGGCAAACAACACUUGAUCAGUAUAGUCAGAAACACAAAGCAAAUUCAUCCAUGAUACUAACCCAAGUACAAUCAUGGAAAUUACAUUGUAAUUCUACUUCCUUCCAACUUAUUGUGGCUCUCAAUAUGAAAUUUCGAAUUUAAACAUAUGCCAACAUGUAUACCCUUUAACUUUAUCUAGAAAGCCUGUUAAGAGAAGGGGAAAAACAAGACAACUUUCAAUAGCGGAAAUGAAAAAAAAGAAAAUAACAAACAAACAAGAAGAAGGAAAGAGAUAGAAAAUAAAAUAUUUAAAUUUACAGAAAUAAGAAAAUAUUAAAAAAUAUUAAAAAGCUGUAUGCAGUAGAUUAUCAACAUAAGUAGAUAACGUGCGAAGAGCUGUGAUGACCUGGAGGUUUUCGUCGUCCUCUCACGUGCCGCGCAUGUGAUUGAGAGCGUUGUUUUCUUCAUCGCGCGCUUCUUCUCCUCUGCCGGUACCCAUGUGCCUCCUGCUGCUUCGCAUUAAAAACUUGUUUCUCAACCUGCUGCUGCGCAUCCUGCUGCGUCGUCUGUCACGUUGAUAGACUUGUUUCUCUAUCUGGCAGUAUCACAGGCCCCUUCUUCCCAAUGCAUUCUCUCUCUCCUUCUUUUUUGGACAAUGUUGCUCUGUUCUUACCCCUUGUACAUGAGCGUGUUGAGAUGGCCGGUUCUCUUCUUACCAAGCAGGGAGUCUCGAGCCUCGUUCUCUCGCGUUCUCUGGGUUGCAGUGGUCCGGACGUUUGGUUCUCCUCCUCUUCUCCUCCGUUGUGAGUUUUCUUCUUCUUCCUUUUUUUUUUCUCCUUUCCGGUGAAGUACAUCUUCGUUGUGAGCUUUCUGCCUGAAGGUGAUGUUUUUGUCCUCUGUUCUUUGUUUCCCUUCUCGAGCCGCGCAAGGAGUAUCGGUCCUCUGUUGCUCGGGUUCUCUUGGUUUCAGUUGUCCAGAUCAGCUGCCAUCCGGUCGGUGCUCCUCCUCCUUCUCCAUCGUAAGUUUUCUUCUUCUUCCUUUCAGGCGAGGUGCGGUCUUCGCUAUGAGUUUUCCUCUGUAAUUUUUAACCUGGGGACUGAUGUUUUUUGUUCUUUUUUCCAUUGUUUCCCUUUUCGAGUGGCUCCUGUCUUGCUCUCGGGAGAGGUUCGCUCUUGCCAGCCGUUUGGUUCAUCUCCUCCUCGUUCGUAGUAAGUCUUCACCUUCCUUUCCGCUGAGGACCAUCCUUCGUUUUGCCUUUUCUCUGUAUUUUAAGCCUAGAAUUGCUAUUUUCGUCCUUUGCUGCUUCCCUCCGAAUGAGGGUUACUGUUCACAAGCUUUUGGUCGUCCUCACGAGCCUCCCACGUGAUAUAGUAUAAGGAUUCUCUCUCCAAACUUUUCUCUUAUCUCAAUUCUUUACCGAUCCUUUCUCUUUUUCUAUAGUUUCUGCUAGGAUUUUUGUGCUCUCCCUCUGUUGGUCUGCUGCUCCUCUUUGUUCUCAAAAAAAUUUUCUGAUCUCUCUUUUCCUUCUCAUUAUCUUAUCUCUUUCUCUUUCCUUUUAUUUCCUUCUUUCCUUUCCAUUAUCUUAUCUCUUUCUCUUUCCUUUUAUUGAUAUUCAUAUUUGCUUCUAUCUUUUUCUUUAAUAUGAUCUCAAGCAGAUCUGCAUUUUUUUCAUUAGAAAUAGUUAAUAUAGAGAUUAAUGGUGAAUAAAGCUCCAUCGCCAUGUUAGUUGGCUAUUCCUAUACUCAACAUUGGUAAUUCUAUGGUUUUACUUCCUUGUGUUUUUUUCUUUUUUUUUUUAAAUUAUUGUAACUGAUUUAAACCUUUCUUUAGAAUGAAAAAUGUGUUGCAACUAAAGAUGAUUAAAGCCCCAUGACUACAAUCAGCAGCUAGCCAUAUCAAGCAACAUGCUCUACCAUCGGUAAUCCCUCAUUACUUCCUUUUUUCUUGAAAAAAAAUUAUAUUAUGGUGAUAUGCUCGAAUUCUCCCUUUUUCUGACAUUAAGCGGCAUAGAAACAAUGCACUUACGGAGUAAUAAUUUUAAGAAGUAGGAAAAUGGGUUGUUCGAUGGAAUUUUGAAAAAAAUGUUACUGCCGAUAAUGCUCUGUUUGACGCUUGAAUCAACUAUUGUGUAUGACAAGAAAAAAGGCUGAUAUUUUAGAGAGAUCGAUUUCCCACAAAGAAAAAAUGAAAUUAAAGUCUGCGCACUCAAUUAUUUCAAAAUUAUUAUUUAUGUACAGUUCACCUCUUUUCUAUUUCUUGUUCGAUAUUUGGUAAUUUGAGUGGUGUUUGUGAUUUUGUGGAGUCUUCAUUUAACAUCCAUCACCUUGAUUUGAAGGUGACCAAAAUUCGUUGUUUGGUUUUUCUAUUAUAAUUAUUUGACCCCAUUUGGCACAGAUUAUAUUGUGUUUGCAAUUCCUUAUUCUGUAUCUUAAUUUUCCCAGGUGUUUUUUUGUUCUUUUCCUCCUGCACACAUUGUGCUUGUGAGACUGUUGGCCAGGUUUUACUUGAAAAGAAUCUAAGAUUAGGCAUUUAUUAUGACAUGACAAUAAUGCUAUACGUAGUUCACUUGCUUGAACCCUGACUUCAAGAAAGUUGGAUGGUUAAGAAUACCUAUGUCAGGUGAAGUAAUUCUCUAAAAAGCUUUUUAUUUGAUGUCAAUCAAAAUGGACUGUUAUUUUCAUGAAUUGAUUGAAGCACUUGCAAUGUACUUUAAUUUCUUUUUACUAAGUUUGCAUAUGUUUAAUUUCAUUUUCUAUUGAAUCACAUUAGAUUAGAUAGAUAGUCAAAUCUAAUGGGUCGGUUGGCCUGUGGUGCUUGUUCCCUGUGUUAAAUUCUUUUUCUUUUUCUUUGAGUUCAUUUUUUUAUGUUCAUUUGCUUUUCCUUUCUCACUUGAUCUGAAUGAUUAUGGUUUUGUGUGUUUUAAGUUUUAUGCCAAUUUUGUGUUUCUGAAAUUCAAGAAUUCUUGAUUUAUUGCUAUAUAAAUGUGCCUUGUAGGCUAGCUGUAUUGAGACUAUGGUAGAUGGUGUCCAAUUUGCUUGCAGAUUUUGGUAUUUGGCGUUAGUUUCUUGUGACCCUUUCUUUAAUCUUUUUUCUUACUGAUGUUUGAAUCGUGCCUUGAUUUUGUUUUUCCUUUUUUUAAAAUCCAGUGAGAUAAGUCUAUGAUCGUCUUAGAGAGUGCUUUUCAAGAGACAUAUUUAAACUUCCUCCCUAUUAAGUGUUCACUAUGUGCAGGAGAAUAACAGCACAUGUGGGUGUUAUUUACUUAUAAGAUUAAUUACAAAACAUGCUUGUUUUUAAUUACAAGUUGUUCCAGAUUUUCAGACCAAAGUAGCAGCAGUACUACUUUUUCACUUAAUUAGUUCAUGCUCUAAAGUUUUGGUUUUUUACUAACCAAUUUUAGGUUCAAUCUAGAUAGCCACUCAACCUAAUUUUUUGGUUUGUUGAAUGCAAGGCCAAGGUAUUUGCUCAUGUAUGCCCAAAAUACAGGUUUCAUUUUAGCUAAUGAAUCUUUAAUUCACAGGUCUACAAUGUUCCCGGAUUACUGAAGUUUUGUUAUGCCAAUGGCUAUCAUAUACAUAUUAGGAGAUGAACACAAGGACUAUAAUAAAUAGAGGUACACACAGAUCAUUUUCUAUGCUUGAGGUGAUAUAUUGUUGGUUAAAUGCCAUUUGGUAGGUUUAUUUAAAUGCACAUACUAGCAAAGAAUGUUAGGUUUUUCUAUGCCUCAACUCAUGCCUUUAUUUUGAUAUUAAGCAAUUGUUAAUGAAUACGAAGUUUAAUGAAUCUGAUUCAAUGCCUGUUGUAGUCUACCAAUUUUAUAACAUUAUUUUUGCAUGCAUUGAAGGUGCUCUUAGGUGAUAUCGAUAUUUUCCAAGCAGUAAAGAGGGUCUGGCCAUUUAUUUUCCCAUUUUGUUUUCUUUGAGUUGGACUUUCAACAUAUAAGACAUAGAGCCAAAGGGGGUUCUACUGUUCCAACUUUGGUUCAUAUCUGUGUAGUUAUGUUUGGUUGAGCAUACACUAUAUUAUUUAAUUGAAAGUGAAAUUCUAUUUAAGAAUACUGAUUAUGUAUCUGUGCAGUUAUGCUUGGUUGAGUAUACACACUAUAAUUCUCCCUAUUAACUUAAAAAUUAAUCUUAACUUAAUAUUCUUCAAUUUUAUUAGUGGCAGGGAUGAAAUGGUAAGCGUUAAUGAAAUGGCUGAUAUGGUUCUCUGUUUUGAAGCCAUCCAUCCACAUUGCACUGGGUGUUCAUGAUUGUAACUCAAAUUACACUCUCAACAAGGAAAAAACUUGGUUGGGCCUUCAACUAUGAUAUUGAAGGUAUUUAUAUUGAGCAUUACAUGGUCAGGCUUCAUAGAUUCCAAGCCAACUUUUACUUUCUUAAAACCUUGAUUUCAUUUGUUGUGUUUUUGGUUCUUCACUGGUAUAAAUAGGAUGAUAACUAACUGUUCCCUAUUGUAAUUUUAAUAGGAUGGGCUGAUACUUACAUCUAAAAAGGAGAAAGCUUAUGGUGUAGAUUUAUCAUGGGACUUCUAAGACAUUCAAAACCUAGGCUCAAGUGCAAUUUGGCUCAGUUUGUGUUGCUGAUGGCGACUGACGAGUGACCUUAUAGUUGUUUAUGCUUAAUGAAGUGAAUUUCUGUUGCAUGUAAUCGUUAUAGCAAGUGUCAAAAUAGAGAAAUGUAACAUAAUAGUCUUCUUUUUAGCUACUAAGGCAAACUGUAUAUGCUGCCUAUGUGAAAAGGGUGCAAGUUUUCUCAUACUAUAUGUAUCUAGCUUUCUUUGACAAGUUUGUGAUGAUUUGAGACCGUAUAUUAGUUUUUGAAAUGCUUGUCAUGUUGUUGAUGUGCAUUAGUAAUUGGCUUGUGUUAUCUAACGAAAUCAAUUUCUUUUUUAUUUUUCAAAUUAUAUUACAUAUUACAGAUGCUUUAUGGGCAUUCAUGAUAAAUUGCAACCGCGCAGCGCGCGGUCCAUGCCUCCUAGUAUGGAUGAAUAUAAGAAAGGGUGUAGUUCGUAGUUCAGCAUUAUAGGAAAGGUACCCAGUAGAGGAAAACUUAAGCCUUUCAGAGAACAUGCAACAGCUUAAAAUGGAAAAAGAAAAUAACACAGGGAAAUUUAUAAUUAUGUUGAACUCAAAAAUAAAUAAGAAGAGAGAAAGAGAAACUAAUAUACUUAAAUCCAUUUUCUCAUCAGAUCAACUCAAAAGGUGUUAGCAAUUCUGCACCUCAAGAAAGUUAAAAAAAAAAAAAAAAACCUUGAGCUCAUUACAAAAAGUGUUAAUCUCGAUUCCUACACAAUCGCAAAUUCUAUGCUAGUGGAGAAGCAGAUCAUUUUGGGGAAGAAAGCUCAAAGAAAGGGGAUAGUUGGUAACAUUUAAGGAAGGGGAGAAAACACGUACAUGAGAAUCCGUCAGGAUUUUGAUCAAACAGGUGGUCUUCAUCAAAGAAAUGGGAUCCGCUACUGCGUGGUAAAAUAUGGGUCAAGGGCAUUUUUGGCACAAGGAUUUUCCCACUCUAACGAUUCCCACCACUCUUUAUCUCCCUUGAUUUUAUGAAGAGUGCUAGGAAGAGAUGGUAGUCCGUUGAUGGUAGGAAGAAACAAAGGCAGCCUCUUUGCCUUUGGACAACCGGAUAUUUCAAUCUGACAGAUUGAAUUGCAGAUCAAGGCUGCCUUGCAAAUAUUAUUCAAUUGUGGCAGCCAACACAGAUUCAAAAACUUUAAUUUUGGAAGGAUGACUGUGGCGGUGGCUCCACUUGAAGUCAAUUGGAUGCCAUCUGCUGCUAUCUCCUCCAGUCCUUCACAAUCUUCAACUCCUAAUAUUUCAAGAUUUUGAAGGUUCUGCAGCAACUGCAGUGUGAAUAGCUGCUUCAUGUUGUGACAUCUAGAAAUCCACAAUUCUUUAAGGGAAGAAAAGGUGCUAGCUGGAAGCAAAUAUGGUUCUGAGUCUCUGUAAAAAAGACCAACCAGAUUUGGCAACCCGUUGAGGCUUAGCACUUGGAGAUCACGGAGUGGACUAAAAGACGAGACUUCCAACUGAUCACGUGGAGAAGCAAAGGACAAUUGCCAGAGGAACUCUAUUCCAAUCAAAUCCUCAAUAACCAAUUUAGAUAAGUCGCUUAAAUUUGUAAAAUUCCUAAAAGCAUCUGACAAGCACCUAAUGACCAUGCCCUCACAAUCCUCGAUUGUCAGACUUUUCAUGUCAUCUGGCAGAUAGUUCCAUCCUCUACCAAGCUUAAACUGAUGGAAAUACAGUUGUUUCUCCUGGUCCUCACAAUCACUGUCCCCGUCAUAAAACGGAUCCUUAGUUAAGAUGUCAUUGAUAUAAACAUUAUAGUAUUUUGGCCACCGAGUAAUUUUAUAAAAGUCCGUAAAAGACAAACAUCCUAUAAAAACUUCUAAUUGGUUCAACACUUCUAAAUCCAUAACUUGUACCCUACCAUAUGGCAAUAAUAGCCAUUGAAGACGGUGAAAUUGGGAAAAUGUCCCUUUUGGUAUUAUCUUUCGUCUUAGAGCCCAACACUUACGCAAGUUAAGACUUUCGAGGUUGACCAGUGACUCCCAGCCUUCAGGUAAAUCCUCAAUCUCAGUUCUGGAUAGAUCCAAAUCCCUCAAUUGCUUGAGCUUUCCCAGUGGUGGCACAAAUCGGAGGCCUCCACAAC
rnacentral:lncRNA from 1 species